CUGUAUCAGGUUGGGGUGGCUCACACGACCUGUCGGCGGGAGGGGCGGGGCGGGGGGGCGGGGAGGGGAGGGGACUGAUAGGGCGGAGGGGUUGCACGCGUGGUGGUGUUGGUUGAGGUAGGAUAGCGGUACUGGGCAUCUCCUGCAAGGCUGAGUCGCAUCAAGCGAAAGCACGUGUGGGUCGGGGAGUGGGUCGGGGAGUGGGUCGGGGAGUGGGUCGGGGAGUGGGUCGGGGAGUGGGUCGGGGAGUGGGUCGGGGAGUGGGUCGGGGAGUGGGUCGGGGAGUGGGUCGGGGUGAUUGCGACGUCUAAAACGGCGCGACAUGCUGAAGCAAGGCACCUACGCGUCUAGGUAGGCAGGUAGGUAGGUAGGGAGAUAGGUAGGUAGGCGGGUGGGUAGGUGGGCGAGCACUUGAGCCACACAUAAUUCAUCCAUCAUAUACCACAUAGAAGUAGGACGGGAACCUAGAACAUUCGGGCGGACACGCACACGCAGGGGGAAAUAGAGAGAUAAUAGGCUACCGGUAUCCACACAAUAAUUCUCGUUCCCGAUCCACGCCCCUCCUCCCCACCGCCGCCUCAGCCCUCCCUCCCCAUUUCUCCCCCCAUCAUCAUCCCCUGUUCAGCAGCACCCGACCGUGAACGCGCGGAGGCCUUCCAGCCGCCUACAUACAUACAUACAUACAUACAUACAUACAUACAUACAUACAUACAUACAUACAUACAUACAUACAUACAUACAUACAUACAUACAUACGUACAUACAUACAUACAUACAUACAUACAUACAUACAUACAUACAUACAUACACACACACGCAUUGCGCACCCAGCCCACCUUGCACCGUCAUCUCCAUCGCAUUCCGCAGCAGGGCUCGCCGAGCACGGAGCUGCUCCUUGGCCGCAGCCGCCGCGGCAGCCGGACUCAGGGUGUGCUGCGGCGCCGGCGGGACGUCACCCACAGCAACAGCGGCGGCGGCGGCGGCCGGGGCGGGUCCGCUACGUGUGGGUUGGGCGAAUGCUCCCUGCUGCUGCUGCUGCUGCUGCAGCUGUGAAUUGCAUGACCCGUGUGUGACAGACAUAUCACCCACAUCCAGAUCAGGCAGCUCCAUCACCUGCACAUCCGGGCGAUAGAGGCAACCCAAUGGAAGCCCUCGUUACCACACAAAGAGGAAUCCAGGAAACGCAUUUAGGGGCGGGUGGGCUAGCCCCGGCAUAAAGCAGCUUCUCACAAAGUCAAUCAGUGAUCCUCCCAGCCGCCGCAGCCACUAAGCCCCUCCCUCCGGCCCCCUCCCGCCCAAUUCCCCCCUCCUGCCCCAGCCACUGCAACCCCCAGAAAUCAAAACAAACCUGGUACCACCCCCACCCCCACCCCUACCCUCACCUUGACAGCCACCUCCUGGGUCCCCAAUCUGGCGUGAGGGGGGAGGGGGUGGACAGGGGAGAGGUCGGGUGGAGGGGCAGUGGCAGUGGAGCGUGGGGAUGGAAGUCAGCGACAGACAAGUGUGGGGGGUUGCAACACACACACACACACAAUCAUUCGUGACCCCCAUUUCACUGUGCGGUGUUAUGACUCAGCACGCACGCACGGACUUCAGCCACAACAGCAAACGACAACAAAGGAGCUGAGCACCUCUGUGCUACGAAACAAGAGGACACCCGCUUCAUGACCUCAGCAAUGUUGAAACACAUCUUGGCGUCAGACUAAAAGGUCGAACCCAUGGUGGUUCAAAUCCAUGGUGGUAGCUCCGCACUGUAUGGAGCUCUUUCCAAACAUGUAUAUGCGGUAUGCGGUAUGCUUUCGACCCUAUCGUAAACAUUGCUGGGACACAUACCUACACGCGUGCAAGUAUGUAUGUAUGUGUGUGUAUAUACAUAUUUUUCUGAGUACAAGUGCUACUCGUAUAUUGCUAACCUAUUGAGCAAGGUACCGAACGUAGAGAGCUGCCAAAGGUGCGGGGCCCCUUUCCCCUCCCCCCCUUUUCCCCCGCACCUUCCCCUGUAGACCAGUCCACCACCGCCCCUGCCGAGUACCUCCAACAGCUCCAGCGACUCCAUGUCCUCCGAAAAAGUAACCCUGCGGCAGGAAAGAGAAACAACACGACAUCGCACAUCGCUCAGGACGCAUCACACAUACAUAGAUAUAUACAACAUGAACAUACAUACAUAGGCAGGCGGCUGGCAGAGAUUAAGGCAUGACUUCUGCUCCCGGAGUGUCCGGGGUUCAAAUCCGCCUGUCGACUCCCCGGGUGUUUGAGGAGUAUUGGAAUGGGAGGUGGCCCCCCAACUUAUGGACGGUGUAGGACGUGAAAAUAUCAACUUGCGAGCUGACCAGGAACUAAGUUGAGGCGCCGUUGAUCCGCUAGAUUUGGUUGGAUGCUGGUGGUGAGUUGCUGAACCCAACGAAUACAUUCUGAAGUCGGACGGGGUGAACGGAUUAGGGUGCCCCUCUAGCAGGGGAGAGCAGGGAACUGCCUCCAAGGGAAAGGGGGCCGCUGGUGAAGCUUAACCACCCUGUAACAACAUACAUACAUACAUACAUAGAUCCCGUCUAGUUGGAGCGCCAAACGAGCGCUGUUGCGUGCCGGCCGUCGUUUCCCGUGCGGCCUGACCCGGGGGCGGAGUGCAUGAGACUAACCAGCCGUAUGCACCCGCCCCCCGCGCUGUGUUUCGGCCCUGGGCCCCCGGCUUUUCAGCCCACAGUGUAAUCAACGUCAUACAUACAUAUAUACAUACAUACAUACAUACAUACAUAAACGCAAAUGCAGAUAUCUCCCCUCCCAUUCAUCACCUCGCAUCACCCUCUUUUCCUUCCGAUAACCCUUCUUCCCCCCACCCCCCAGGUACGGGGCCCCACCCCCUCACCCUCUUUCCCCCUCCUCCGCUUACAUGGCGCCAUUUAUCUCCGAGGUCAUGGUGGUCUGUAUGCUCGUCACCAGCAGGUCCAGCUGCUGCCGGGCCGUAGUGGUGGCUGCGUCCACAGCCGCCACCGUCAUGAUGGACGGGCUGGGGGGCUCGCCGCCCUGGCUGACAGCUGUGUCGCUCUGCCGCAUCUGCAUCAGCACACUCAUCACGACCUCAUCAUGCACAAUGGCCACCUGCGGGAUCUCAUCACGUGAGGGCGGCCGGGCCAUCAGGCAGCGGCAGGGGAGGCUGGGACUGGGACUGGGGCUGGGACUGGGACUGGGCUUGGCGCAGAGGGUGAAGGCAGUGCCAGCGGCAGCGGCAGCAGCGGUGGAGCCGCCGCCGCCGCCGCCGCCGUCGCCGCCACCACCACCACGCUCCACGCAAAAGGACACCGUGCGCUGCAUGGAGCCGCCUGGUGGAGAGCAGGGUGCGCCGGGGCGUGUGUGUGUAUGUGUGUGGGUGGGUGGGUGUGUGUGUAGAGGGGGUGUUAAAGCCGGGGGAGUUGGAAAGGGGUAAAGCCGGGGAGUCCGGGUAGGGAUGGGGAUGUGGUGCCGGUUUGGGCUCGGGGUUGCGGUAUGGNUCAGAGGGAUGCCCGGGGUGUUGGGGGUGGGUGGGUGGGUGGGUGGGUGGGUGGAUGGGAGAAGGGAUACCAGCUUUGGAUGACGGGAGUUCACCCCGGCUCAGCUGUCACAUGUAAAGGACCAAGGCACUGUCAUAUGUGUAUGGCAGCGUACGAUGUACGGGUGCCGUGAAUGAACGACGUCCUCAUGGGGCUCACCGCGAACCCCUGAUCCGCCGGGGCAAAACCCGACAGCCAAGUAGAGAUCAUUUUGUAUAUAUUCUUGUGCCUACACACGGCCUACCCAGCCGCCGGAACCAAACCCCCAGUGCCCGCACCUUUCGCAGCGGCCGCGGCAAACAACGUAAGCUCUGCAGGGCUGCUGCAGUACAGAUCCAUGCUUGCCCGUCGCGACAGCAACUUGGCAAAGUUCAUGAUAGAAGUAGUCGUGGUAUUAGCAGUAGCAGUGGCGGUGGCAGUCGCGGCGCCAGCAAUGCAGGCCGCGCCGCCUCCACCGCUGCCGGCUGCUGCCCCCGCCGCCGCCGCUGCCGAGAAGUCGCUGCAGCAGCCGCUUGCCGUCUUGGCCAGCGAAACCCCCCCCCAGGUCGCCCCCCGCGACGGCGCCAACAUCCUCGCAAGCCUGCCCGAAGAUGUAGCGCAUUGCGGCGCCGUCAAACCCCGGUGCACCAACCCGUUGACGCCGGCGCCGCGCAGUACGGCAAAGUGGCCGGGGGUGGCGCUACACAAGGUUUCGAACUCUGCCGCCAGAGAGCCGUACAGCUUCGCAUGUACGGGAAGCCGCAGGAUCUAGCAGGGGGAAGGGAGGGGAGAGAGAGGAACGAGGGACGGCCGCAACGUGUGUGUUUGUGUGUUAAGGGAGAGAGGGGGUGGGGGUUGGGCCCGGGAAGUAAGGAAGGUGGACGAAGCGACAAUUGGCUUGGAGCAAGAGGGGGCGGCGGUUCCGGAGCGCACCUUCCAACCCUUGUCACGGAGGAGAAAUGAACUGCAUGACGACAAGGAGGAGAAGGAGGAGAAAGAGGAGGAGGGGGCUCGAGCCCUUCAUAGUAAUGUUGUUGCUCAGGUAGGUGUCCUAGUGGGCUUUGGAUGACCUUCCCUCCACACUGCGAGAUGUAAAUACCCCCAGCAAGCUGCAACGCUUUCGGCACACAAACCUACACACACAUAUUUGCAUCCAUGCAUCCAUACAUACAUGCAUCCAUACAUACACACAUCGGUGGGAGGACGGGAGGCCGCACUCCGCACCUAGCCCCAGGCCCCCCAGGUUCUAUCCUGCGGCGACACAACCACCCACCCACCCGUCCAUCCACUCAUCCCCUAAUCCGUCUUCCCCUUCCCCUUCCCCGCACCGCCAGGCGACGCACCUCGCCCAGAAGCUCGUUGCAGCUAUCCCGCACCGCCGCCAGCAGCUCCCCGGGAAGCCGCUUGCUGAAACACAGGUACAGCGCCAACACGGACUCCCCCAGCCGCAGCCCCACCAGCACCAGAGACUGUAGCGACGGCCCGGAAACGGAGGAGGGGGCCCCGCCACUGGGCGCAUGUAGCGACGGACUGACCGGCGAAGUUACGAGCAGCCGCGGAGAGCCAGAUGGGGCAUGAGGACCCGCGCCCGGUCCCCCUCCGGAGGCGGCGGCGGCGGCGCGCAGACCUCCCAAAAGAAAGCACACAUCGCGGGACGGGUUGUGGACGUUUUGAAGGUAAAAUCCUACGUCUUCGAUGCAUACGCCGGGGAAAGGCUGGCGGCUGCUACUGGUGGUGGUGCUGCUGCUCCCCGGGCUGAGGCUUACAUGGGCGCCGCCGCCUCCAUCGCCGCCGCCGUUGCCCCCGCCUCCGCCAGCACCGCCGCCGCCAUUACAUGUCGUCGAUGCCGCCAGCGCUUGCAGCACCGUGUGCUUUGUGGUGAAGGUCUGCGCAUGCAGGCUGGCGGAGGGCACCUCUGCGGUCAUGUGCGGCGGCAGCUGUACGACAACGUUGCGGACGGGCAGCGGCGAGGCGGCAGCGGCGUGAUGUGGGUCGACUGGGCGGCUGCUGGUGACCUGGUCGCUGGAAAUGGUGGGUGCGCGGCCGCAUGAGGAGGCCUGGUCGCCGAACAAUCCCAACUGGGUGGUACUAGGGUACUGGGGUCGGGAGGUGGCGCGUAACGUGGCGGUGGUGCCGCAGUCGCUGCGAGCAGAAGGCGCAGGUGAAACAGCAGAAGGCGUGGGGAGGAAGAACAGGUAAGAUUAGAAUCCGCAGACGCCAAGUAGGAUGUAUCGAAUAGACUACCAACGGUUCACAAAGUGGGGAGGUGGGUACAGUUGGAUCGGACACAGCUGGAUCGGAAAUGUGCACGUACCUCCUCCCCAUUCCCCACCACAGAGCGCAGCGCCGCUCCCACUCCCACGCCCGUGUACAAUAAGCCAUGGAUAUCCUUCGAGCCAUCGCACCUGACGCCCAAACUAUUCGUCGCCAAAGCACUGAAUCGGUUCCGGGACGUCAGGCCGCUCAGAUUCCCUAGCUUGCUGCUGCCGGCCUGUAGCGCCGCCGCCGGCAUUGCCGGCAUUGCUGGUGCUACUGCCGGUGCUGUCAGUAUUGGCUGCUGCUGCUGCUGCAGCUGCAGCGGCGCGGUGGUGCUUCCCUCCGCCAUCAGCAUGCACCUGGCGGAGCGAGAGGGGCCUUGUUGGGGCCCCCCUGACUGAGGAGCCCCAGGUGGACCCGAAAUCGCCUUGAUACCACCUUGUUGCUGUUGUUGUUGUUGGUGGUGGUGGUGGUGGGGGUGGUGGUUCACUGGUUGGGCGCGGAAGAGGAGGCCCAGCGGUGCGUCAGGGCGGGGCAGUAGCGCGGCCUGGACGCUGGUCUCCACGUUGAAGCGCUUCCUCACGUGAGAGGCGAAGUCCUCACUGAGCUCCCACACUAGGGCGUUCAUGCUGUCACAGCAGGCGAUGCGAUGAAGUACACGUGCUAGCCACUGGAGCUGCUCGGCAUCGAUUCCCAGGCCCAUGGACACGGCCAGGCCUAGUUGGUUGAGUUGAGUGGGAUUAUAGAAGUGGCGUUGGCUGUUGAGAAGGGAGGUGGCUGGGGUGGGAGGGCGAGCUUCUAGGAGCAGCGCGCCAGCGACACCCCCGAAUAGUGGAACAGCGCAUACCGCGCGAAAGGCCCCGUCGGCGGAUGGGGUGCAUGUGUCGCUUGGAUGGAGCUCUUCGAUUGUCGGACGCUAUGAAGGGCAGCGAGGCGCAGGGAGGGGGGCGAGGCAAGACAAUUGCCCGAAAUGCGACGAGAAUGUGCGACAAGGAGGCAUUCUUUGAGUGUGUGCACAGACGCUUGCCGUAUAAGAGUUCAGUGUGCUGUCAGAGUUGCUUCCUUAGUAUGUGAAUUAAAUGAGGUGGUACAAUAAAGUUUCGGGGCUUCGUGCCUGUCUUAACUAACCUGAGAAACGAACAUGCCUUGGAGAACCGUUAUCUGGUUGCGACCAGGCUCCAAUCCCAAAAACUGUUUUGCUCGACUUGCUUGGCUCGUCGCCAGUAGGACGAACUGGCCCUCGUCGGCGACACCGAACAAGCUGAGAGACGCAAAGGGCCCAGACUCAACAUGAGCUCGCGUCAAAGAGCAAGAAGAUUUGAUACCAGCAGCCACAACCCGUACCUUGCAUCCGCAUUUGUGUAGGCUGAAACAGCUGUGAGCAAGCAGGACAAUCGCGACUUAAAGCUUAACCCGCUUAAAGCGGAUAUCUCCCGUUGCAGCCGCAGAAGGUCCUGUGAGUCCCAAGAACCAUAAGCUAAGCAUAUGAACUUUGCCUCGACUUGCCUACUAACUUACUCCUUGCUCACCUCCACUGCGUCAACAGCGACUACUCCACCUUCCGGUGAUUCAACUUUGGGCACAACCGCAAAAGAAUUAUUACCAACAUAGUCUUGCGGGGCGGAAGAGUCCGCACAGAAGCAGCUCAAAAACUUGCUCAGCCCCAUGCCCCCAAACAAGUUAUGAAUCAAUCCGCUUCAUAAAACUGGUUAUUGAAAAUGUAUACUAACUAUUACAGGCGUCAAGUCGAGCAAAGCGGUUGAAAGACCUCAUCCUGUACGAAGUGAUUUUACGGUACAGGUCGCCGUUUGGCAGUACGUUGAUCAAAAGGUAGUAAGGUGCUAAGAGCCCUCUAGGAGAAAUAAUCUAGCUUUAACUUUGUGAGGAAGAUCAACAUGCGAAAGCUGGAAUUACUGCGCUGUGAAGAAGGUUAACUGUUGACCUUCUUUACAGAGAAGGGGACCUUUCCACGACCGAUGCGAGUUGAAUUAUGCAGAAGUCAUUAAUUCUUUUGUCAUGUAGUUGUCGUUGUAGUGCGACUCUGGGCCACGUUCCUAAAGUGCUUCGAGGAGGUUGUCGGUAGUUAAGCUGUGCAAGCUGCGCUACGAGCUCACUACGCUGCGCAACACAAUAUGAAUCGGAAAAUCACGGCAAGCGCGUCACGAAGUUAACUUAGCAUCAUCAGGAUUAACAUCAUCAGGGCCUGCCCCGAACGGACCACGCUGCCAACACGCAGCCAGUGUCAACCCCGCGAUGCGUAGGCAAUUGCAUGGCGCAAUCCAGGAGCCGUGCGAUCUUGCAAUAAAGCAGCCAGUGCAUACCAACAAUAUUGAUCUCUAGACGCAUGAAAUCACAAUCGGAAACCCUGAUUGGUAUAGGUCUGUAUAGGUGUUUUACGUGUGCUGCCUCGUUCUUGCUCUCUUGGGAAACCUUUUACAAGCCCUUUUCCCAGCGUGCGGGUCCAUGCUGUCCGCCAUGCUGCGCAUAUUUCUGUCCCUCUUUGGCGACGAUGUGCCCUUCAACACCUCAGACCGUGACGCUAAAAUGUCGUGGCACAGGCAUCAGUGCGUACUUAUGUCCCGCUUUGCUAAUAUCUUGGGAUAACUUCGCAUGUCAAUUGGCGCCUCCUUAUUUCUGACUAAGCAUUACAAAUCCCAGCUGCGUGCUGAUGGCGAUUCCCUGUUCCUUGAGGUCGUACACCCCAGACGAGGAGGUCACGAGUCCAGAGGAUCAUGGACAGCCAGAACAGCAACAGAGCAGGUUUUCCGGACAAGAACGGAUUUCGUUUGGUGCCGACCGCUCUGGUCUGCGUUUGCAACAGUAGAUGAUUCCAAGACAGCAGCAUUUAAUGAAAUGUUAAUCACGCAUGGCUUGGUUGAUUAAUAAAAAAAUUCAAAUAUGCAUGGCUUGGCGUUUGAGUCAAUUAGUAGCAUUGCUUGCAUCCAUAUCGGUUAGCAUCCCCGUCGGGUACGGUACAAUACGGAUGAUUUAAUAUACUUCUGGCGGGCAGUGCCAUUACACUCUGUGUUUCACAUAUUGGAAAAACCGUACUAACACUUAGAUCUUUUAGGAAAAAACUUUAUUGGGCUGUUGCGGUAAGCCUCGAGUGGGCAGCUAAAGCCUCUUGCAACUUGUUUAACCGCAACGUUUUCUGCUGCAUCACAAAUUUCGCGGGUUGCCCCUUGAAGGAUAGACCGAUAUUCUUUAUAAUUUAUUCCCUCAUAUAAGAUAACACUGAGGGCUCUUACCAUGUGUGUUCCGGAGGCUCCUUUCAGCUCCCUCUUUCCAUGACGUUCUCUGUCAGCCAAGUAUUGCAAAUUACCAUAUUCGAAAUAAUAUCAUUAAUAUCUCUUCGAUAGGUAAAAACGCACGUAGCCGUACCCGGCUGCGGGCCCCUAAACCUUUUCCAUUCUUUUUGGAUGUGCAGCAAUAUCCUUCAUGCACUGCAACAACAUUCUGCAGGUACAGCGAUCAUGCCAUACAUCAUUAUGCCGUACAUCAUCGUCGUCGUCCCGUCACGGUUUAAGGAAAGGAGGCCAUACACGGCCACACCGCCCGCAAGCGGCGGAUAGGCGGGAGGCGAAUGAAUGUCUUAACACCAGCGCUGUAUCCGUGUAUCUAGGCUUCCUGUGUGCAUCCUCUGGCCGUGAAAGGCCGUGAGCUCUCCGCGGCUUACCCGCGUUACUCCCCGCCUUUCAAAACGCUCUCCCGUGUUACAUCUGAUAGCUGUGUGGUUCAAUGCUCCCGAUGCGUCCUUCUCCUGCGCGCGUAUAUCCGUACAGGACCUGCGGGCUCUCAUCGCCGCAUUAGCGGACAAAGUCAGAGCCGCGACAGCCAAUAACACCGUCCCCGUCACCGCCAUCCCCGUCACCGCCAUCCCCGUCACCGCCAUCCCCGUCACCGCCAUCCCCGUCACCGCCCACUGCGGAUCCAGAUAACGUCUGUUGCCUGACGUUUAUGGUGGCAAUGACGGCGAUGUUGAGCUGGGGGCGUUAUAAUCACUGCACGAGGGUUUAGGGCGGAGGACUCGGAGAAAUGAAACCAUCCAGGGUCUCGGAAGGGCAUAACAACUCCCCAAGGGCGCAAUGAAUCUAGCUUCUGACUAGAUGAACGAGGGCGGUCGAGGGCAGGGGCACUGAAGGGGCGAAAGUCACAGAACGUGUGGAGGGGGAGGGAAAGGACAAACUCGUGCGUGCUGGAGAUGCGCCUUCCUGUUACAUGCGUUCGCGACCUCUGCGUACUCUGUAUCGGGAAAGAGUGUAUCCACCGUGUACCCCAUACCAGUCCACAGACGUUGCACAUCAUCCCGUCGCUGUAGGGCGGUGCAGGGCAGUAGGUCGGGUUGAGCACGUCAUCAUCAUGGAAGGUAAGAUCGUGGGGGGGGGGACACGUAGGGGAUGUGCAUGACAGGUAGAUCAGACGCACAAAGGCGGCGGCAACAGCAGCAACAACAACAGCAGCAGCAACAAUAGCAGCAGCAGCAAUAGGAGCAGCAUCAUCAGCAAAGACUUUAGGAAAGGUUUCUAACGUGCAGCAAGUCCGGGACUGCCGACCGCCUGCCAAGCAUCGUAUUGCUCUGUUGUGGUGUGUGUUCGUGUGCGCAUGCUUGAACCAUACAUGCACGGCAUUGUUUUUUGUCUUGGCUUGCCGUUCGUAACCACCCCCCUGCCCCGUUGCUUCCCCUUGACGAGCGAGGCUCGGCCCUGGCUUGCCGGCCCUUGGUGUGCUCCUUGGGCGACCAUAAGAGGAGAGGAGACACCUCGUGUAAGUGUACGGCGUUUCUGUGUCAGUUCUCUGGGUCGUUUAUUUAAUGCUUGUAGUGAUCUUCAUGUCUGUCGUACAGUGUCGUGCCGUUGAUGCAGGAUUGCGCGCUUUGAUGUAACCCGGUCACUGACAUGUCGCACUCUGACGUGUCCAAACACACACGUUCUCCCUGCUUGCUUCUCACUACUCCGCCCGCCGGAGACACCGUGGUCCUGCUACUGCUGCUACUACAACUGCCGGUGGUGGAGCACCCGCGAGAGCUGCCACGUGUGUACGGCAAAUGUCUUACAUAUAUGUAUACGGCAUGAACCUGGCGGUGUUGCCGAAGGAGGAGCUCUACCUGCACAGUUGCGGGUGCGGCAUCGGAGGUGAAGCCGAUGCAGGACCAGGCGGUGGUCCUGGAACUGGUGGCAGUGAUGCAGUGAUGGGUGGUAUGUUGGGCAUGGAUAGGGAUAUCAUUAUUUGGUCCGGCCCCUGGCGACUGUUGUGGGUUCGAGCCCAACGGCCCAAAGCUGAAGAUACCGCUAUACGUGUAACUGCGCUCACCCCGGGGCACAUGUUUCACUGCCCGAGCGGUGUGUUUUGUCGCUGCGGGUAUUGCUGCCCGUGAAGAGUCCGUGGCGCUCGUAAGUGCAAGCGGAGGGCAAAAGGCGUGGGGGAAGAUGAGGGGUACGGCCAAUACCGCUGCCGCCUUGUUUGCAGUAACCAAGCACGUUAAUCUUCGAAAACACAGCAAGUGACAUAGCGCGCGUACACCCGAGGGCUUCACCACUGAUGAUGCGAAGUGAUGUCGUGUCGCCCCGUGGCCUGUUUAGGUAACUUGUCAGGUUGUUGUGAGUAACAGCUGUGGCCUGUUUAAGGCCGCCCAUCAGAUUUCUGUGAGUAACGGCUGGCAGGUUCUAGAGUACUGCCAGCUCGUCCAUUAGGAUAGGCUUCCCAAGCCCAUAAAAGGCUCUGCUGUUUAUCGGUAACAGUACCUCAGAUUCCAUACGCCCAGGCAAGGGGCUAUCGGUGGUAGGUCGCGGACCUCCCGAAUACGUGUAACGGCUAAUAAAUCUUAGUCGUUUCUGCUAGGUCCCAGUGAGAUAGCGUCUCACCAACAACCACAAGCAGGUCGCGUUCAGCUGGGAAGCCAUGGUACUGGUGAGACCGAGUUGAAGGCGUUUGAGCGAAGCGAUACGACUAGGCGGCAUUCCCAAAGCCGCUGGGUCAAUGUGCAGGUAUCGAGGGCACGUGAUCAUCUUCCACACAUAUCAUCAUCGCUAUUGUGCGGCCGUGCUCUUUACUUGUUAGCCGCUUGGCCGGUAGGUUCACAUCCUUUCCCAGGGCAAGGAGCAGCUGCCUUUUUACAUAGGUCCGCCUUGCUUUGCCUCCCACCGCCCCGUCUGCACUGCCCACAUGGCCAUAUGCUUGCUGCUUCUCACAAACCCUGGUCUGGAUGCUGCUGUACGGCAGCAUCAUGACGAAAAUGAAUGAAUGGCCUCAAGCGCUGCCUGCCUUGGGACAGCUGUGACGUGUGAGUGGGCAGGCGCGCGUGGGCACCUGCUCUGACAAUGUGUGUACGGUGGGAUCUGGCAGUGUUUCCAAAGGCCGGCGGCGGCGGUGGAUCCGCCUUGGGACCGGUGGCGGUGGAUGAUGCAACGGCCACCUGGAUGGAUACGGUGGCGAACCUUUUGGUCCGGACGUUUGUGGGUUGGAGGCCCACAGCGAUCACUGUAUGUCAUGCGGUAAGUUACAAGUUACAAGUGCCGCACGAGUGGGGGGGGGUCCGUCAAAUCCGGGAGGCCAUGGACUAUAUAUAAUGAAAGUUGAUUACAUCGUACAACCGACGGCGGUUUGGGUCCUGCCAACUAGACCCCUCCUCAUCCAGUCACCCGACAUCCGUAGAGACAGAUCAGCCAUUACCACCAUCUCAGCAUGCGAAACUCAGUCCAUCAACUAGACCUCAUCUCCACACCUCAGCAGCGUUAGUAAUCCUAGACCUCCCGAACAAUGUCAGGGGUCUGACCAGGAAUCGGACCCGGAACCUUCAUAUUCACAAAGGUGCCACCAGACUAGACCAAAAAUUUGAUACCAUUCGUCAAUUUGUGCAAGCUUUUUAACUUCAUAUAAUCAAUACUGGUUGUGGGUCGCCGCGACUGGUUUUCGAAUGGAGUUUUUCCAUUGGCAGGUGAAUACGUUGGUAGUUAGCCUUGACCGCCGCGAUCACGACGGUUGCCGUACAACAGACCUCCCAUCUCGUGGUGAGGGUGCGGUUCCACUUCACAGGCCGUGUUGCCGAGGGGAGGCGCGAGAACUCUCCUAGCCGCUGUGCUUCUUUCUUCGUGCACGUGUAAAAGCUCGCUGGCAGUGACGAACAAGGACUUUGCGUGACGAACAAGUCCGUAGCAUGCCUUGUGGGAGGUGGUGGAAGGUGUGGUGUCAAAGGCUGCGCCCACAUUAUGACACCUGAGAGGCAGCAGGGUCACACAUGUAGCCACGUGAAGUAGAUUCAGGGAGUUGACGUUGCUCCUGGGACUGCGGGUCAUGUGCGGUCAUGAGAAGCGAGGGUUCUUGCAAUUGGCCUCGAAGCAGACCUGAGGGGGUUUAGCACGUGCAUGGGUUGCCAUGGUUUCAUUGGGGGUCGUUGGAACCCCAAGUCCUCUCGCGUGGCGCGGUCAAGCAAGGGGCAUCGCGUACUCCGCAUCAAAAAGGACUGCCUCGUCCUUUGAUAACGGACCGUUGCCUACAACCUUGAAGCAGCAGGUCGCAAGCCCCAGUGGGCCCGGUGGCUGACGGCAUUGUUUCCUCGAAUCCUUAACGGACUCAACCCGGCAGCUGAAGGAGAGUGAGGCUGCUGCGUGGCAUAUCUUUGCAACCAAGAGCUUGCAAGGAAGCGGCAUCAGCAAUCGCCGCAGCAAUGGGAGAGCUCCCACGGUGGCGGGAGCGGCUCGGGAUCAAGCAGGCUGGUUGAUUAAGACCGACAUGUGGAGCGUGUCUAUUGGUGGAAAUGAGCUACCUGGUUGCUUAGGGGUGGUAGUAUGUGCUGUGUGUAUAGGUUUGCAGGAGGUCGACAUAGUGUGCCUAUAUUCCCUGUGCUUCGUAUUGGGGGCAAACUUAUUUGCAGACCUUGCGCUGUGCGGUGGUCCGACAAGCGAAGUUAGCUUGUGGUGACGCGCAAGCAUCACGCCAUAACUCCCGUGCCACUCUUCGUCGGCCCCAUCUUGGCCCCAUGCCCGUCCUGCUGGAUCUGAACGGCACCCUGUUGGGUAGCAUUGGUUUAUCCCCAUGUGUAAGUACGACGUACGAGAUGCAGUACGCCAAAUAAGAUGCCAGCUCGAGCCAGGUCCGACAGAUGCCUGGUGAGAGCAGGGAGGUCGGCAAACGUGGAACCACCAACACUCCUUCAAAUUUUAAAAUAAUCUUCUUACGAUAGGGCCCAGCGAAUCCUUGCGCGUCCAUCGCUCGUCACCAUGUCCUCAAGGACUCUCCUUUACAACCGCCCGCCAUUCCCCUCCGCAAUCCAAGGCGCCCAUACCACUUACAUAAAAUCCGUCGCCAGCCUGGUGAAGCUAGUAGGCACCGGGGAUCGCGCACUUGGGGACGAUGGAGCUAUUUGCCCGGCUUAUGAUGUUAGUCAUACAUUCCCUUCGCUUCCACAUGAACGCUCGAAAUAAUGCAGCAUUCCAGAAUGUUGCAGGAUGGAUGCUUUAAUGGCUCACGGCAAGGGAGGCGUGUGCAUCACCGCUUCACGAAUCAAUAUGCCGUUCUGAGAUGCAGGCCCUUGUUGGUGCGUUGAUGUCAUGUUCACUACGCCUACUAGUAUUAGGGCCGCAACGCAACGUAAGGUGUAUACGAUUCAUUGGGAGCCGAUAAACCCACAAACAACUGCGCCGCAGGAGCUAAGACGCGGCCAACGUGAAGCUACCGGCGACCCGCAUAAACAGCAGGUGCGCACGCGUAACAUUCGAAUAUAAUCACGGAAUUAAUCAAAAAGCAACGGGCUCAUAUACCGUUAAAUAUGUCGUACAUGUCGUGUUUGCCCACAAGUAUAUGGACCCGGACUGCCGAACAGCGGUAACGCCGGUCACAGACAUGCCGUACCAAUGAAACAUGCCAUUGUCAGCCACCAACCGUCAACCAUCAACAGUCAACCACCAACCGUAAUCCAGCAAUCGUCCAUGUUUAUUUAACUGUGCCUCCUCGCGCAGCCCAAUAGCGCGCAGAGAGGUGCACUAUUGCUUGUACGACAUACCAAACACAACCAAUUCGGAAAAUUGCCAUGCUAUACGGACACAUAGGCACCCAAGCCGACGGCAGCUUGCCAUAGUACGGAUAGUAUCCGACGCGUGCAGGAUCACAUUAACCCACCAAUGACGAUCGUCACCACCACCGUGGACACCAACGCCAAGAAACAGCGGUGGAUUGCCCAGGCCAAAAGACACUGUUAGCAGCGUUGAAAAAAGGAGGAACUCUCGAAAUUUAGCGCCGGGCGCUUCUGGAAAAGCCACAUUCAGCAGAAUAACCAGCUCAAUUGCAUGGAGCGGAGCAUCACAAAACGCUUUGAGAGCAGUCAAGGCCGGCCGCGCGAGGACCUCAGGCAUAGGAUGGAAAAGCCCUGGCCCUGGUCCCGGUCCCUGGCGCUGACCUUGUAGGUGCGCGGCUCUGCCGUACUCAUAUAUGAGUCAUAUAGUCAUAUGAGGGUCCAUGCAUGGGCCCUCUUCUCCCACUCAGAUCAAUGUCGCAGUCACUACGAAAAUUUUCUCUUCUCUCUAACAAAAUUCCACCAAAUUCCUCGUCAACAUCAUGAAACUGACAAAUAAAAGUCUAAGGGUGCGUGAGGGAGAGAGCGCGCCCCUGCCAGCCGUCCUCCUAGCCGGCCCACAUGCGCCAAUGGCAACCCCAACCCCACUACCGCCGUUGCCGCAGUGCCGCAUACUUAGUACCGGUCAUGGAAUGGAGCGAACACCGAGGGCGAGGGUGCCAACGGUAUCUACUAUGCCUGUGCCGAAGUGCGCGGGUUGAGAACCCUGAGGCCUCCAGUGCUGUGGGGCGCAGGUGGAGCCCAGCACGACUCGACAUGUGUGUAAAGGGACGAAUAGGACAAAUGAGCAAAACCUCACAAAUGAGGCGCCGCGCGAGCCAGUACGCAGUGUUCUCUCAAACAAAACGAAUCAUGGAAUUGCACCCCGGACCAUACUGUCGCGCAUUGGGAGGAUUCAAACCUCACCUCGCAUCAAUUUUGUCCGGGCGUCCUUACAGCUGCCCUGUGCAAGUCACUGUGCCAGCGAACCGGCACCCCGAGCUUUACGCCGCGGUGAAUGAUACCCGGACCUACUAUUCGGCCAUCAUGGCAAGGUGCUGUUGUGUGUGUGUGUGUAUGUGCGCGUGUGUGUGCCGAACAGCUCUGCUCUGCUCCACCUGCGCUACACUUAACUGCACACUGCCGCCCAAUUUUAUCGUGAUAGUGCGCCCUUUUGCAAGCUCUAGCUUGCUUGUAUGCCAUCUUGCUCCCAGUGAUUUAUUUAUAGCUUUGGGUGCGACGUAUUCUUUACCAAGGCCCCGACUCCGCGGCAUAUCCCGCAUCCCCAAGAGGCAUGAAUUAUGCAUCGAAGGGCAACACAGGCCCAUAGCUACGUCACCCCAUACCUACACCCCCUUCAAAACCACACCCCUCUGCCUCCCUUUCAUCACUGUACCAACCCCCCCACACUCCCAGCCUCCAUUCCUCUUAAGACUUGCUAAUCAUGCGUUCAUUCAUCUAUCAAAUGCAUCCACGCAUCCACUCCCAUUUCGCGCCUUCAUGUCCCUCGCCUAAAUCCAUACGCAAUUCUCCCUCCAUGGCGCUGGACCGGUCAGGUAGCGCGGGCAGGUACGCAGGACUUCCCACAACCAAACAACCCGCAAGCUCGCGGCUGCUCCGCCCCUACCGCGGCAUUGAAAUGGCUUCGGCGCUUGCGGCGUCAGCUCAUGCACACACACGGCUUCCUCCUACCGCACCAAAAUCCCCGAUGCGCUGCAACUGGGUCCCCUAGGGACCCUUGAGUAGGUCCACACGUGUCCGCCAGGACAUAAGACAUAAGUAUGGGUGGGAUAAGAACCCCCGAGCCGCUGCACAAAACACUGCACCUCACAGUGCAAUUGCAACCGUCCUUCCUCUGCGCCCCGACCCAACAAUUCACUGAUGAAUGGGCCCGGCCCCCGUCCUCUCGGCCGUCCACUGCAUGUCCUUAUGCCGUCGUGCUGCUGCCCCGUCCUGCCUUACUUCACCUUUACUACUUCGUCGCAUUUUAACCCCACGCCCUGCACCCAUCCUUUCCGUUUCCUAGCGCUCGACCACCUCUGGCGCCGCCGCGCCCUCUUCCCUUCGCAUCACUCAACAAUAGCUUUCCCAGCCGGACCUACUUACGAAAGCGGGUUGCGCGAUCUCGCUGUACGCAGAAGUGAGUCGCUGGCGAAGUGAUCUGGUCUCACUGGCCGCUGCCAUGGCAAUACUAGCUGCAGCCGUGCCCCAGGAUAGUUUUGAACACGGCAAGCCGCACAGUGUGCCCGCGCAUGUCUCUCACCUCCUUCCCUCCCUUGCUCUCUCACUUCAACAACAUUGCUGCUCAACCUCUGGCUCUACCAUUCCCCCAGCCUUAUAGUGCACCGUUGCGGCAUUGCGGCCAGGCGGCCAAGAAGUAUAUGAUAGAUGCAACCCAGGACCUCUUUCCGCAACUGUUACGAAAUUGUGAAAAUUUUGCGCCAUGUAAUGCACUUCGAAACGCACACCGCAUGCUCGUCGCACUGCACGCACACACGCUGCGUCAUUACUAUUAUAACCUCGCCCUCUCCAUGUGCAGUUGUCCGGGAUGCCGUCUCCUCCACUGCCUUAAGCUUUGCUCCAACUCACGCACGCGGGUUCCCUCUCUCCCUUUCAUUCCUCUUCGUCAUCUCUCCGCGCGCACAGGCGUUCCAUCGUGUGCACCAAACAGCGGCUUACAGCUUGUUUACUACAAGAACACACGUAUAUAUGAAUGCCAUGGACAUGAUUAUAUGGUUGAAUUGCAUCGGCAUGGUUAAGGUACGCGUCCGCCAUCCUUCAAUUUGCAGAGCACACCCCCUAAUUCGGCUAUCUAGGCUUUGCAUUUAUUCCAUGAUGGGUCUUUCCGAAGUCCAGAGGCCUCGAGAGCUCCCGACCAGCCCCCAGCCGGGCGACAGGACCCCUCACCUGUCCAUCAACAGCUCCGCCAUCGGCACCAUUGCCAUUAUCUACAUCAAACAUCAUUUACCAUCACUGCAACAAGUGCAAGCUCGGGCUCACCCGCGGCCGGCGGACAACCUGCAGGUGGCCAGGCUGUAUCAGGUCCAGAGCAGCCUUCACACAGUGGCACUAGGCCUGCCCAUAGGUCGAUGGGUGGCACGCAGCUCCCAGAACCAAACUGCUGGCUACCGGCUGCACGACUCUGACGUCGGCUGCGGCUACGGUUGCGGCUGCCAAUCGUGCUGCUGCUCUGUCGCUGCUCAUUUGGUGGUCACGAGGCCGCAUCGGCGCGUUCUUCUGCUGCCACCAUUCAGCCUCCCCCCAUUGGGCAGCUGCAUUCUGGUGGGGAAGAGAGGAAGGGUGCACGGCCAAAAGCAGCUGUUCUUGAUACACUACUGGCGCCGAUUGGACCUGGACCUGGACCGGGACGGGGAUAGGAGCUGGAGGCCUCUUGCCUGGCUGCUGCCCUACUCCAGCUCCAGCAGCAACCCAUUCAACAGGACCACCACAUCUGACGCCCUAGGCCGCCGGUGCGGGUCCGUGCUCCAACAGGCCAGAGCCAGGUUCCUGCAGGGGAGGGUUCGUGGGGGAGAGGGUGGGGGUGCCACACCACCAGCGCACCGCCAGAUCCCUCAGAUCCGUGAGGGGAGGGAAAAAGAGGAAAAAAGAGAGGGAGAGGUUGGGGGCCCACGCACUCACCGGUCCCAAAUGGCCCCCUAUCAUGCAAGCCUCACUGCAGCAUUUAUCCACCUACCCACGCGGCACUUGGAUAUACCUGUAUGCCGCAGGGAUGUCAUCCGAAAAGGUGGGUCGUGCACCACGAUACACGGCACGGGGGAUCUUGUCGGGCUGCAGACGGGGAUAGGGCCGCACGCCGCCCGAGAACAUCUCCCACAUAAGGAUGCCUGAGAUGGAAGGGGGGUCGCAGGGGCCAGGGUGGGGUGGGGUGGGGUGCAGAGACGCGGGAUCCACAGGUGCGAGGCUAGGGGUGAACAGCUGGAGAAGUGUUGAAACCUUGUUUAGCGGGUCGUGCCCGAUCUCAGAUCAUACAAACGCCUUAUGUUUGUUACGAAGUAUCCCGCUUCAACACACCCCGGUACUGGGCCAAUCCGGACCAAUAUGCGCUCGCCACGCUCUCGGCCCAGCGUGCAUCCCAGCCCAGCAUCCCAAUGCCACGUCCGCCUACCGAAGGCGUAAAUGUCGACGGAUGAAUCAAUCUUGGCCUCUGCGUCCCAAUCGCCACGCACAGCCGAGACCACCGCAGCAUGCGGCAGGACAGCGCCACCGCAGAGAGUCCGCGGGAAGAGCCGGGAGGAAGGGGACCGUGAGCACAUACAACACUUGACCAAGGUCAGGCGGGGCAAAACAGCGUAGCUGAGGGUCGGGGAUGGUUUGGGGACGGGGCCGCUCCGCCCCCCUCCAGCGCCUCACAGCUAAGUAAUAAAUCACACAAAACCCUGAAAAUCUAUUACUUGAUGAGUGUUGAAAAGGGACCCUCAGGCCCUAACGAAAAAGAAACUGAUUCUCAACCCUGACACCUCUACGACGAGCCCUACAACCACUAUCCUCACUUUCACUAUCAACCCAUUUCCCUCCCCCCAACGCAACCGCUACGCACUUGCUAGAAGCGCCUCGGGAGCCAUGUGGGUCACCCUGUGUGGCCCACCAUCCACCGGGGCAGGGGGGGACCGGGGGACCGGGGUUACCCGUCCAGGAGAGGUCAGAGUCAACCAGUCAGUCAGUCAGUCAACAAUAGUCCAUUCGACACGGGGCGGCAGGCAAGCCAGGCGAAGCAGAGCAGGCAGGCAGGCAGGAGACAAGCAACAAGUUUGGAGAGAGGACUAUCAGGCUCGCAAGAGGAUUUUUGAGGCUCGCUACAAAGGCUGGAUGCUGGUUGAGUGAUUCACCAUACAAGCAUGGAUGGUUGUACGCAGCCCGCGAGUGAGUGUUUCGGAGCAGGAGCUUUCGUUCCCACGGCUGUUGCCUGUUAGGUGCUUGUUUAGGUUGCUUGCGCGGGCUGCCCCGUUACCCUAGGCGGCGGGAAGGAAGGAUAUGAUAUCUCCCCACUCACGUUCCACAAGCCUGAUCCGCAAUGGCGUAUCGAGAGCCGUCCUCGGCAGUCUGCGACACGGGGUGGUUUGGGGGCGUGUAGGGCGGUGUGGGGUGGGUGGUAAUGGCCAAGGGCCGGGGCCGGGGCAGGACCAGGGGGAGGUGGGGUUCUGGUUCUAGGUGAGUGAGGAGGUAAUGAACGAAUGAGAAACGGGAAAUUGGACAAAAGCGAAGCACAAGUGGCACGCGGACAAGCAGUGAACUGGCGCUAAGAUACCCGACUGAGGGGACUGACAUCAGCGCUAAGGAAACGCUAGCAGUAGGUGGCCUAUACGCAACGUCACCGGAGUGGGGCCCAGGAACAGAUCUGCGUCACAGCUGGCAGGUGCAGAUAAGAUUGGGAAAUGUGGCUGUGUCACAUGGCGAGCCCCACAGCUGCACGUUCCCGGAAGUUGCGCCCGCUGCAACCCACACCCUCCUCCACCAGCUGGAAUCCAAAGCGCUCAAGUCAGCUUUCAGGCAGCAGCCCUUGGUGGCCAGACCGAGAGUGCCGGUAGGCUGCGGAAGCGCAUACGAGGAACUUGCGUACGCCCGGUUAGUUGAGAAAUGUCACACAGGCGAGAGAGGGGCCACCCCAUUCCCACGCCACCCCACAUCAUCUCCCCCCACCCCCACCCCCAACCUCAACCACACACAAUUCUUCUCAUCUCCACACACCUCGUUGAGAUGCAGCACGAACCCAAAGUCCGCGAGCUUCACCGUGAAGCCGCGGGGGUCUCGCGGGUUGGACUUGAGAAGCAGGUUGGCGGGCUUCACGUCUGGAGGUGCAGUCAUCAAGAAAUGCCGCGGGCGGGAAGGGGGAUGGGUGGGAUGGGCGGGAUNNNNNNNNNNNNNNNNNNNNNNNNNNNNNNNNNNNNNNNNNNNNNNNNNNAUAUGAGUAAGCGAGGUGUGUGUGUACAGCACGGAAUAGCAGCCCUCCCCAUGUCGUCCGGACGCUCGCCAACUCCCCCCCCCGUUUUCCCCCCCUCACCCCUCACCUCUGUGCACCAGGUGCAGUGAAUGUAGGUGUCUCAGAGCCAGGGCCACAUCCAACAGGGUCAUGUACACACCCUGUACGGGAGGUGGCGAGGGGAGGGGGAGGGCGAGGGGAGGGCGAGGGGGGGGAAGGGGAGGAGUCACAUGCGAGAAGCAAAGUGUCAACUGCCGAUGUCCAAAAUAUUAACUGACAGAAAAGGGGAGAUGAGGGGGCACGGGGCCCGUAACAAGAGAGUAUACAUAUAGAGGAGGGGUUCGGUAGGAAGGGUUAGGAGAGGAGGGCGGGACAGGGCUGGGGGCGGGGUAGGGAAGCUGGACAAGCAAAAACGGAGGGCACUAUAGCAGCCACAAUCACGCGCACCCCUUCAUCCCGUUCCCAUCCCCCUCCCUCCUCCACUGGCAUUCGAAUUCGCACGUGUCACACAUAACUCACUCACUCAGUCCUACUUACAUACAAUACCUCACCGUAUCCACACCACAGCAGUCCCGUCCCACCGUUCCACCAGAACUCCAGCCGAUCCGCAGGUAGAGCCCCACACACACCGAACACAAACACCCACGUGCGGUCCCAAACCCGGCUCCUACAUCUUUGACUAGCGGACCCUCUCCCCGGAUACAGACUUCUAUCAAUGUACAUACACACGCUCACCUUCAUGUCCACCAUGAACUGGGCCCUCAGGGGAAUGGCUCCGUCUGCAUCCCGCUCCCGGUACACGGCCUUAGGGAAGGUGCGGGCGGACAGAGCACCGCCCAGGGAGCCGCAGUCGCACAACUCGAAGGCGGCAGCCACACAGGGUACGUGGCGCCGCUCUAGACGGAGGUGGUUCGGGAAGGCGGCCGCGGGGCGGGGAGGGGAACGCGUUGGGAAGAGUUACAAAGUGGUGGUAAAGCUGCCGAGCCGUCGUCGACAUCGCUGCCCCAUGAUAUCUGGCAAGUCUCAGCCUAUCCCAGCCCACCCGAAUUGCCAAAAAAAACUCCCAAACCCCCACAUCGGCCCUCCACAUCUCUAGCCGGCCAGGCCCGCCCAGACCAGCCUCCACUGUAGCCGUACCCUUGGCGUUUGAGUCCCCCUCAUUUGGCCCCGGGCAAUUAAGUGCCGCUGGGUAGAGGCGGCAGGUGCUCCCGGGGUAGCCAGGGGGCCCCUUUUUAGACACCAUCACCACAUCGUUGUAGGUGGCAUAAAUCUGCAUGCAUGCAGGCGGGUGGGUGGGUAGGUGAAUAAGCUGCAUGCUGAGAUCUGAACACGACAUGUUGAUGGAAAUGAACAUCAACCACCGGCUGAAAGAGGUCUGAAAAGCCAUGCGGGCACGGGGUUCGGGAGGCGGUGCGUGAGCAGCGCAUGCACUUGGACCUUUGACAAGGGCGGCUUCCGGUGAUUUUGGUUUAGGAGAUAGGAUACACAGGAAAGUGCUACCAGGAGAAAGCCAAACCAACGCCAGGAGACAUCAAGGCAUAUUGGUGAAAGUGCGACCCCCAAGGUAUAUAGCGCAUAUGGUGCCUUCUUACACUUUACACGCACCCUUCCUAUUUUUUAAAUUACGUCUAGCCAUCUGUUGGCCGGCAGGGCCACAGCCAGCAAACCCAAGGGUGUGUCGCAUCCCACACGUUCCCAACCUCGGACAUAUGCACACGAAUGUGGAGCUGUCACACACGCGAAGGGUCACCCCACCCUUGCCCACCUGCACUAUGUUGGGAUGCGAGACCCUGCACGACAGAUAGGGACAGGGGGCAUAUACAGCACGCGGAGGUCAGGUAUGGGGAUGGGCGCGGCAACCAGACCAUUUAAGCACCAAGAUAAUACGUUGGGGGAAGCAAGAAUGAUUAUUUUUUGCAUUGCAGAGCUGGAUAGGUGUAAGGGGCACGACAUGGUGGGAAGACGCGUUCAGUUAAGGAAGCUCCUAAGAAAGCGCCGCAAAGAAUCGCUAUCCGCCGCACGAUAAAACUUAACUGGCCUGGUCUGGUGACACCACUGCAUUUAGCAGGUUACAAUCCUGGGUGCGAUUCUUAGUCAGAUCCCCAACAUUGAUCGGGAGAAUGAAGCUAUGGCUAGCUACUGGGGUGGGGAGAUGAGGUCUAGUUGAUGGCUUUCGGAUGCCGGGUUAGUGGCGAUUGCUGAUCUGUCUCUACGGAUAUCUGGUGACUGGAUGAGGAUGGGUCUAGACGGCAGGAACCUAACCGCCUUCGACUUUCCAUUCUUACGGCGGAAUUGAUUUUAAAUACAUACUAGGGUUUGGCACUACUGGUAAGGCGCGACCAUUGCCCCCGGGAGAUCCCGGGAUCGAUACCCAUUAGGGUCAAAAGUCCUUCCGAUGGUGGAAGGCAUUGCGCCCCUAGUUGAUGGACGGUGGUGACCUGGGAUAAAGUUAACCUGCGAGCCGACCAGGAAUGGAGUUGGGCAGCUGUCGACCCGGCAGAUUCCGUUGGAUGCUGGUGGUGGGUGCGGAACCUGAGCGAUCCACUGAGAAGUUGACUAGGGUGACUGGAUGAGGGUGCCCUGAAAUACCGGGGAAGGCAGGGUUUCGCAGGGUAGCUGCCACGGGCGAAGAUACACCCCCCUGUUUCACACAUCAUAUGGUCCAUAGCCCCCGGGCUUUGACGGGCACCCCCGCAUUCGUGCGGAACUUGAAACUUGUACAACUCAGGACGGCUUCGGGGUGAAAUCUGGUUGACAUCCUGUUGCUUGACUGCCGCCCCGACGAGAUAUGCCCCAGUAACGCUCCCGUGUGGGCGUCGCACAUUGCGCAAGGCACCUCACCCAGUGUAUACCCAGAGCUCAAGCCCCACCUGCUUUGCACCGCAAGCUCGGUGGCGUUCCGCAGCAUCUCCCGCCGCGCAUUCAGGCAUAUCUUGUCAGCCGCCGCUGUCGCCGAGUCCUCGCCUUUCCCACCACCGCCGCCGUUAACGCCACCUGUACCUGCUUGCGCCGCCGGCGCAGCAGUCCCCUUGCGCUGCGCAGCUGCUACUGAGUCAGCCGAGGGAUCCACUUUCGGCAUCUCCAUCAGCUGAAGGAUUUGCGCAGGACAGCAAAGAAAGAAUCCAGCAGCAUUGGAGGAAAGAAACAAGUAGAGGAUAAUAGUCACGAUAACCAGCAUAAUAAGUAUGCGCCCUCUCAGGCCCUCCCAAUUGCUUAAAAAGGACCCUGGCGCCGAUUGCUACAGCCGAUUACGCUAUUAUGCAGCAACUUAUCCACCCGCCCAGUCACAACUGCCCAACCUUUCUGUCCAUCGAGCGCGAGCACACCCGGCUUGGCCCAACCCGCUGGCCGCGGGGCGACCCCAAACCCCUCCUACGCCGGUCCAUAAGGCGAUGCCGCACAGCACGCACCUUGACCGCGACAUCCAGCGUGCCCAGCUUCCCCUUGAAUACGGUGCCGCCACCGCCCUGACCCAACACAUCCCCCAGCUCUAGGGCGUCCAGGUCGUCCAUAGGGGAGCUGCUGCAGUACAUCAGAAAGUACAGUACAACAACACGAUUACGUGUAAUAGAGCGCGUUACAUCGCAGAGCGGCCAUGCCCUGAGUCCCGCAGGACCUCUGCGCCAUGUAUUUGGCCGCCAGGGACCCGCAGACCGGCUUGGUAGCUGCAACCCCGCCCUCCAUUGCUCUUACAUGGAACUAGUUAACCCUUAAUCCUUUGGAAACAAAGCCAUGUAGGCCGGCUGGUCAUGCCGAUUUCCGGCUUUUCCAGAGACUUUUCCAGCUGGGAGUAUCCCAUUUGUUUGUAAAUAUCACGCCACCCUGCCCCGGCAGGGCCGGUCCCCCUUUAAGCACCUGGUGCCGCCGGCAGCAUGAUCCGUGUUGAUUGUGGCAUAGAUGCUGCUGACAAGCAAGUCUAGCUGCUGCCUCGCCGUCGCGGCGUUGUCCACAGCUGACACUGUAAUGAUGUGCGCCGUAGUGAACAGGCCGCCACCGCCGCAACCAGCGCCACCAUUCUCCAAACCCACCAGGCUGCGAGAGGAGCCUGUACGCAGUGGCGGCGCCUGGUGUGAGAACCCCGCCAGUACGUCGUUGGGGUUGGACUGCAGCAGCUGGCUCAGACUAAGCGGCUCCACGCACUCGGCUCCAGCAGUGGCGACGGCACCGCCGCCGCCUCCGGCGGUGCCUAAAGGCCCCAGGCCCGAGGCAGUAAGGGCGCGCCUUUCAGUUGUUCCAGUACAGCGGACUGAUAGCGGCGACGCAGAGUGGUGCGGUGCAACGGCGGCGCGGCCGGCCAUGGCGAUAGCGCCGGGGGAACCGCCGCCCCCAAUCAUGCAAGCGGCUGUGGAACCUCGUUGGGUGGAGCUUGUGGCCGCGAGUGUGCGAUCCUGUCCGGAGCGGCGGCCGGCGCUGACAGAACCACCUAUGCACAGGUGGUGUCGGCAAGGUCAGCGAGGCAAAGCGAUUGGGACCUGGCGGUAGAGGUACUUGGGGGAGUGAAAAUGACAACAGGAACUGCAGCGAAAUACCAGGGGACCGUAGCGCCUAGGUGCCAAAAGGCAUAGCGGUAGCGAUGGCGAUGACGGAUGUGCGAUAGGCAGAAGGGUUGCUCAAGUGAUAGCACGGGACCGGGUCUCAUGCCAGGUCUCGACCGCGACGAUAGCCCCCAACAGCAACACACCCAACGGUCGCUUCCCUGCCCAUUGAGAUUUGGAGAGGCAACCGCUGUGGCUUACACGGCCAUGCUCUUAAGAAGUCAGUUCGGAAGGCCAUCCUCUCUCCCUGUCUCACUAUGGCACCCCGCUUAACCCGCUGCAUUGCCCUUCUCUACAUUUGUCUAUAUGCCAUCUUAAGGAUGCGGACCCAGUACCAAGCUCAGCCCCAUUCUCCACCCAAAGCUGUCUCAGGCCCAUUUCGCCAACUUACGCCUCGUGGAUGCCUCUAAUGGGGCCCCACCAGCCUGCGCCUGUGCCUGCAGCGCAAGCAGCACCUCCAUGUCGGCCGUGGAUAGCUCGCCACUGAGCAGCUCCGACGGACUGGCCCCCGCCGCAGCAGCCGCCUCGGGGCCUCCGACAGCUGGCCCCAAAUCGCUGCCCGUCACAGUGGACAUGCAGGCGGCACUCAGCGCUGCAGGAGCCUGGGAGCCGCAGAAGCUCGGGCUGCGAGAAUGGGUUUAAACGUGUGGGCGGCGGGGGGCGGGGGAAAGAGCGAGGUUUCAAGAAAGGAAAACAGUGGUGGGAAGCUACUUGAAGGGCAUCGGGGCGAGGAACGUCAAGGACCCAGUCCCCGGGGUCCAACCCAGGCCGGGCGCAACCAUGAAUAGCCUGCCGGACGGGCGAACAGCUGAAUGACUGUUGCGGCCCCUGCAUCGCGGCCGCCACCUUCAGAACACAAAGGGGAAUAAGUACCGGUUCCGGAGCAACGUAUCACUUCAACCUCCCCUAAUCCGGACGCCAUAGCAGCAGUAGACACUACACCAAGGGAAUUAACGUGCGCGGGGUCGACGCUGCAGACGAAUACCCCCCUAACCAUCCACUAACCUGCGUACGACAGCAUAGGACCCAGGGCUUGCGCUGCACAGCGUUUCAAACUCAGGCGCGAUGGCGGCGCCCUUCAACUUUGUGCGGAUUACCGGCGCCAGGGCCUGGGGGCCAUCAGGUGGAGGGGUGGGGUUAGUAGGCGGAGAAGAAGCAAUACUAAGAUCCUGGCAUACUUUCAUGGCGGACCGAUAAUCCAAUCCCAUUUUCCAACCACCGUCCCGCCACUCCGUUCCGCAUCGUACCUCUCCCAAGCCAACCAGGGCCCCCUCCGCAUUCGCAUCCAACGCCAUUCGCAUCCAAGUAGCAGGCGCCCCAUCCCCUUCACCUUCUACCACGCUCCUCCCCACCACCCCCCUUGACCGCCAUUCCUGCACCAUCCACUCCUCCUUGCCACUCGCCCCCGAACGCCUUCCGAUGUACCUUGUCCAUCAGCUCCUGGCAACUGCCCCUCACAGCCUCCAGAAGCAGCCCUGGCAGGCGCUUUGGGAAGCACAGGUACAGACCCAGCGCAGCACCCUCCUCGCCUAGAGGCGCCACCAGCAGCACCAGUGACUGCGGCACGCCGCCAGGCAAUGCGGCCGCGGCGUUCGGGCCCCCUCCAAGCGCCGCGAAUGGUCCACCGCCCACCAUCCCCGUUGCGGUGGCCCAUGGCGGGCCGUGGCUGCUGGCAAGAACCCCCAUACCACUGAGCCCACCUCCUCCGCCCAGCAUUCCGUUGGCCGUUUUGCGCGUAAGGCCCAUCAACAUGCAUACGUCCCCUGAAGGCUUAUGUACAUUUUGCACGUGCAGCUGCGUGUCCUCGAUGACGGCAGUAGCGCUGGGUGCGGAGACCGCAGCCACCGACCCCACCGUUGCCACCUGUUCACCAACCGUAGCCUCCGAUGAGGCCAAUACGCGUGGGUUCAAGACGUGUGACGACGGCUGUUGGCGACCCGACCGCAGUCGGGCCUGCCGCUGGAGGUGCUGGAGGUGCGCCUGCAGCAGGGUGCGCUGAAGAGGGAAUGCUUUGGCGUGGAGCGUGGGCGUGCAGGGGGAGCACAUGGCAGCGGCCGCUGCAGCCGCUGCGGUGUAGGGACUGCCAUCUGCCUGGCUUGGCUUAUUCGGUUGGGGAUGAUGCGGGUUGUUGAGGGGAAUGACGAUGGAACGACUGCUUGCUGUGGGCCCAAGAGAGGGGCUGCGAGGAAUGUCGAUCGAGCCGGCAGCACGGGUGCGUGGGGAAAGAUCCAAGGAGAACCGCGCACAUAUGAGCGCCGCCGGGUCCCUGCAUGCGCAAGUUGCAUGUACACGGGCCGCGCGGUGUAUGGGUGUCCAUACACCGCACGGACAUUGUCUACGUCAGAAGGUGGGUCCAUGCGGUUAAGUAGAUUCUAUGUGUAGAUUCUAUGGAAGACAUAGUGCAGCCCAUGGCGGAGGUCAAAUGUAGGCGGGAAAAGAGGAAGAGUGGUCCACGCGUUCUCCUUUCCUGCACAAUUUCACCCUUCCUGCCCCUUCGCCUACUGCGCUGCCUAGCUGCCUGCCAAAAUGGAGCUUCAUGAAUCUGCUGGAAACGCUGCUUCGAUUCAGCUGCAGCAAGCCAGCUGGAGCCAGUUGCAAGCGCGGAGCAACUGCAGCGCCUCUUCGCACCUCAGUAAGCUACUCGUCGGCGUCCCUCCCACGGGCCGUAGACGCCGUUUCGACAUAGCUGCCGACAGGCCGCCCAGGUCCUGUUGUGAUUGCGCUGACGGAGGCGUUGUGCCGAGUUGCUGUUGUGCAAACAACGCAACGUUUACGGAGCUGGACCGGCCGCCAGCAGCAGCAGGUGAUCGGCACACCAACUUGGCACCGACUGCAGCACCGUUGGCCGGGAACCCUCCCCCUGCAAGGCCUUCCCCCGACCGCGUUGGGUUUAUUCCCACGCCCGCAUGCGCACCGCCAACCGCGGUCAGGCUCAAACUAGAGUGGGCCCCGAGGUUGCUGACGUUGCCAUUGCUGGCGGCUGCCGCGGUGGCGGCUGCGGAGGGCUGCAGCAGCAGCGCGAGCGGCACAUCGGGACCUGGUGGUACCAGCGCCGCCGUUACGUGAGCAUCGAGGACAAAGCGCCGCUUAACAUGCGCCGCCACGGCAGCGCAUAAAUUGGCAGUCAGGGCCGACAUGGUAUCGCUGGUGCCCAGGCGCGACAAAGCUGCCGCCAGCCAAGCGGCAUUGCUACCCUCCGGUCCCAGCAAGCACAUGGAGCAGGCAAAACCCAAAGAACGCAGCGCGCGAGGAUCGGAGAGGAGUGUUUGUGGCUGCGGUGAUGGAGUUGUCGUUGCCGAGUUCGACAGUGAAGCUGGAACGCCGCUGCGCGGAAGUUCCCCGUCGCCACCUUGCAUGGGGGAAUGCUGCUCCAUCCACAACGCGCCUGCAAGAUCGGACCCAUGCAAUAGGGGCACGGCUGCUACGCGCGUCCGGCGGGGGCGGGGACGGAGGCUGGAAGCUGCUGCUUUGGCGGUCAAGGCCGGGGACGGACCAACCUGCCGCUGUACCGCUGGCGUUGCACCCAGGGAAAUGUCAGGAUACCUGUCCAGGAUGGCGUAAAUCGGCGCCUGCACGGGCCGAGUUGGCAGCCGAGGGAUAUAGAGCCCUUGCAAGAAAUGAGUUUUUCAUUUGGAACUAGGCCCAAGUUGCUGGUCCUACCUUAACCUGUUGCAUUUGCUUGAAGAGCGCGGCUUGUUGUGAAUCUGGAAGGUGGCUUUCGUUGUCGUCGGCGUCGGCGUCGUCUGAUGCAUGACGCGCGCUCCGUAGCAGGAUGAGAGGGACGUCGUCUUCAGCAUGAUCGCCCUCUGGGACAGCGUAAAACCUAGGAAGAGGGGCUAACAGUUCAGCACCUCAUAUGCGGAAGCACAUGGAGGAGCAGGCAAUACAUACUUACGCAACAAAAGUCGCUCCAGUGACUUCUGGGCUCCGCAAAGCAUCCAGCAAGCCGUCAAGGCGUUGGAAAGAUGUUCCGGUCAGCCCGCUGAGCAGCCGGUGAAGCGCGGACAAGGCCGAGUCGUUGACCUCCUGUCCAAAAUAAUGCGAGGUCCUCUGCUUACGUCAAUAUAUCUGUAAGGCUUCAUAUCAUACACGAUCUUUGCCAUUUAAAAGGGCUGGCCGUUCUCAAUAGACUUACCGGUGUACAUUCCACGCCUUGAAGUUCACAUGAACGAGGAUGCUCAUGCUCUGUUUUCUUCUUGCAAGUUUCAGCAGCAGCAUUGCUUGACGAGCAGAGUCUUCCGAGAAACCUGAAAAGAGCCAUCUAUCAUAUCUUCCAAACUGGUUACUUUCCAGCGGUGUGUGCAAAAUAUGCAGGUGCCAUCAUGCAAGGUAAAGCUGCGUGUAUACUGACAGUUACAGCCUUACGGGCAAAACAGCCGGUCACCUGCCUAAACGAACCGCAGCGGCACCCUGACAUCGCCGUACACAACAAGAUUUCCACUGCCUGGACUCGCACCAGCACGUCAGGUUUUAUCUGAGUUUUCAAUCCCUAUUUGCAUAGAUGGUGAUCUUGUCCAAAGGUUCAUCCUUAAUUGAGACCGCAGAGUUCAUGAGAAACACCUUUAUCGCCGACCCCAAGCGCUUCACACCAUUGUCGACACACAAAUAUAACACCCAUAUUCUGAGGAGUAUGAAGAAUGGGCGAGCGCAGAUGCAUAAGGCGGCACGCGGCGCAGUAAGUGUGCUGCGCAAAUCACUGGGGCCCCAUCAUCCCUCCGCGAUUUCUACAAAAAAAAUUUGACAUACCCGUUUCGUUACCAGCUCUUUGCCUACCAUGCUGUCCAAUAUCCGGGAUUACCCAACCGUUUUGUACAACUCUGGCAAUGUGUACGGAUGUCGUUGACUGCUCGUUAAAGUUUCCCACAUGGUUUACGCAAAUGAGCGGAUCUAUCUUUCCAGCUUCCACCAUGCAACUCUAGUCCACAUCAAUGCGAGGCGGCGCUAUUUUUGCAUCCAGCCAUCUUCCCGUCCGUUUAUUUCAUGUCCAAUUAACUUGAAUGCACACAACUCAACCACAACCCGAGCACAAAUAAGUGCCCAAUGGGGUCGUAGCCCAAACCACUCGCAGACAAGUUAUAGCACGCGCCCCGCUUCAAUGGCCCUGUGCACCUCCCGGGUGAAGUUGAGAGGACUUUAAUGCCUUCGUGUCCAAGCAACACGCCUUCACACCAUACAUCCUGUCCCCCCCAGACACACACAUAUUCCAACUUCAGCUUCAGCUUUUGACCAAGAUGGAAACACUACACAUUACCUUUACCCCUCCCCCCCAUCCAGCACUGCUGCAGCACUCUUUCCUUGGCAGCAGGUCUUCACUCGCUCGUGGUUCGUCUUUUCCCCCCCCCAUCCAGCAAUGCCAGAAGGUCGACAUGCUCGCCCCUUGACGGAAACGCAGCAAAAAGCUAUCCGCCAGGACAUUGUUCAAGCCCCCUACGACACACGUAGCAGCAGUAGUUCCCUUUUCUCCUAUAUCAUCUCCUCCCAGAUCUGCCUCCCGACCCAACCAACCUCCCGUACAGGAGGUCCUCGCGGGUACGACACAGGUCAAAUCGCUGGGUCUGUGGUGGCUCCGAAGAGAUCUCCGUACGGCAGACAACGAGGCCCUGACCGGCGCCUGCCGCCAGGCUGACGCGGUGCUGCCCGUCUUCUGUUUCGACCCGCGUGCCGUACAGCCCCGACGGGAGGCGCCUGAGGGGCUGGGAGUGCCCAAACUGGGGCCUCUGCGAUGCAGGUGUGUACGUGUAUGUAUGUAUGUAUGUAUGUAUGUAUGUACGUAUGUAUGUAUGUAUGUAUGUAUGUAUGUAUGUAUGUAUGUAUGUAUGUAUGUAUGUAUGUAUGUAUGUAUGUAUGUAUGUAUGACGUUGAUUACACUGUGGGCUGAAAAGCCGGGGGCCCAGGGCCGAAGCACAGCGCGGGGGGCGGGUGCAUACGGCUGGUUAGUCUCAUGCACUCCGCCCCCGGGUCAGGCCGCACGGGAAACGACGGCCGGCACGCAACAGCGCUUGUUUGGCGCUCCAACUAGACGGGAUCUAUGCCCGUUGGUCUCCUAACAUAAACGAAGUCGCAACUGGGGGGCUCUUCCUGCCGACCGAACGAACCGAGCAUCUCAGAGAGCUCGCUACCAGGACCUGGGCGACCGGGAGCCCGACGAGUCAUCCCGGGCUGGGGAGGUCACCAAGCUCAAAAAUCCUCACGCAAUAAAAAGAGCGCAAAGAGCUCACACCACAAGACGCCAAACAGCCUCCUGAGACUACUACCCUCCUCCGCCUCUCCCUCCCUGGGCUAGUCCAGGGGAGAUAGCCCCCGUCGGGGGGAUAACACCGCACAAGUCCGCGCCCUUCCACAGCACUGGGUCUAACUAGAAAAGUACUCAAACGGGAAGACCCUGCGGCAACGCAGGGCGAUCAAGCCUCCGGAAACCACAGGGGGGGAGGGUAGCCAGCUCGGCGCCCCCCAAUACCGCUCUACCAGGACGGCUGGUUCCCAAGAUCCUAUCUCACCUAGACGCCGCAACACGAAAAACCCGGUCUCGUACCCUGAAGAACCUAGUCCUGCACCACGCGCGCACCUUCGAGUACGGCCCCUCCUUCUGGGUGCCCACCUCCCCCUCAUCCGCGCCCUCGCUACGGCCACCUGUUUCCACUCACCACCCCUCAACCCUACAUCCUCUUGGUGCUCUCUCUGCCUCUUCCCCUCCCCACCCGGCUCUCCCCGCCCUUUCCCCGGUCUCCCCCCCCUCCGCCGGUACGGUUCCCCCAGGCAAAUAAACCCUCCCUCCCCCAUCUCCCCUUGCGCGGCACCCCCCCAAGCCCCAUCCCUGAUCCCGCCCCCCUCGCAACCUUUCCCCUCAACCUCCCUCUCGACCUCCCUACCACCCCCACCACCUCAAAUCCCCCCUCCGCGCCUCGACACCCUAUCCCCUAAACUCCAGCUCCCGCCGCGUCCGCUUGACCAUUAGGUCGUGAUGUCCACCGCCUCCGCGCAGCGCAGUGCUCCCCCGACGAUUGACAGGAUCGGGUGGUGGGGUCCCACUCCGUCCCAGCCCCGCCUUGGGACAUUGAGCGCGGUGAAAGAGCGCAAGCGCGCCCAGAAGUCCACUACUGCCCGAGCGCGGGCGUAUUCCAGGGGGGUUGCUGCUGCUGUUGCUGUUGCUGCUGCUGUUGCUGCUGCUGUUGCUGCUGCUGUUGCUGCUGCUGUUGCCGUCCCCGGUCCCGCGAUGGGCCCCUGCGUUUGAUCCUCGAGUACCGGCGCGUUCAGCGGUGGCCCCUCGUGCGGUCUCACUCCGUUGGCUAGGUGAAAGAAGUCCGUUAUCCGCCGCUGUUGGGGCCCUUGCGCCUGGAUCUGUUGCGCUUGCUCUGGCUGUUCUGUCGCGGGGUUAGCCGCCCUUUCCAGUCGUCUUCCGGCUGCUCGCAGGCAGCACCUGCCUACCUCCAUAGCAGACAGGGCCGCCAGGGCGAUCACAUCCCAGGGGGCCUGCUCGCAGCCGGUCGGGGCUUGGACCAACCACAGCUGCUUCCGGGUGAUGCCGCCUGUCGCUGCCUCCUGGGAGGGCUGUAUGUGUCGGUCAAUUUGCUCCCGGACAGCUUGUGCGACGGGGCACUCCCAGAAGUGGUGCAUGCGUGGGGAGCAGUGCUGGUUGCUGGCGUUGCCGAACCCUCCACACCCACAGCGCUCAGGCACCAUGCGGGCCAGGUGCGUGUUGCCGGGCAGGGGGAUGCCGUCCACGGCGAGCCGCCACAGCGUUUCUUUGUUCUCGUUCUCCCACCGCACCCCCGACCACAAGCGGGCUUGCGUCGCCCUGAAGCGGCUUGUUUCCGCUGAGGAGGAAGGUGCCGUUUCUUGCGGGUCCAACGCUUCUUGCACAAAUGCUGCCAUCAAGCGUCCCCGUUUCUCCUCGGUGGCCCCGCAUUGCAGCUGUGUCGCUAGGCGGACCGUCAGGCGUGUGAGUGGGACGGUUGUUGUGCCGCCCNGGUAUCUGCCAUCCGACCCGCUUUAGGAUCAUAGCCAUCGCCUGAGUGCUGUUGGGGGUGCUUGGAGCCGCCAUGUCCCCCGCCGUUGGCAUCUCUGGCUGCUGCUGUUGGGGUUGCUGCUCAUGCGGCUGCGUCUGUAGCUGUUGCUGCGGCUGUUGCUGCUGUUGCGGCUGCGGCUGAUGCUGUGUCUGUAGCUGUGGUUGUGUUUGCAGCUGUUGUGGCUGUACCUGCGGCUGUAUGUAUGUAUGUAUGUAUGUAUGUAUGUAUGACGUUGAUUACACUGUGGGCUGAAAAGCCGGGGGCCCAGGGCCGAAGCACAGCGCGGGGGGCGGGUGCAUACGGCUGGUUAGUCUCAUGCACUCCGCCCCCGGGUCAGGCCGCACGGGAAACGACGGCCGGCACGCAACAGCGCUUGUUUGGCGCUCCAACUAGACGGGAUCUAUGCCCGUUGGUCUCCUAACAUAAACGAAGUCGCAACUGGGGGGCUCUUCCUGCCGACCGAACGAACCGAGCAUCUCAGAGAGCUCGCUACCAGGACCUGGGCGACCGGGAGCCCGACGAGUCAUGUAUGUAUGUAUGACUUAGAUUACACUGUGGGCCGCGAGAGCCGGGGGCCGAAGCCGAAACACAGCGCAAGGGUCGGGAGCACAGAGCACAAGUCGGUUAGUCUUGUGUGCUCCCGACCCCGACUCAGACUGCCAACACACAACGCAGCCGCUCCAUAGCAUCUCCGUCCGGGGAUGGUGUUGCAAUGAAAAAAGGACGUGCUCUCAGGUCCCGCUAGAGCCAGUCCACGAGUCUCAAGUAGGGCAAAGGCAAAAGCUUUCUGGAACAUUCCCCCCAAAACACAACCAACGACACAGGGGAAAAAAACCCGAACAACGAAAUAAGACGGCUAGGGUAGCCCAGGCAGGGGAGGGCUCCUGAUACACCUAACAAGCCAAAAAAGAAAACCUCCAAGAAACAAAGGCGUAGAGAGCUCGAACCACAAGACGUCUUUCAGCCACCUCACGACAACUGUCCUCCUCUCCCUCUCCCUUCCUGGGCUGGUCCAGGGGAGAAGUAACCAACCAAAGAAAAGGGACCACGCACAAGUCCGAGGUGCCACCACUGCAGGUGCCCUGCACAGACCGGCGAGACCACAAGCGGGACAACAUAGCCACGACACACAGUUCCUAGACCCUCCAGAAUACCGCAGGGGGAGGAAGGUAGCCCGCGCGGCGCCUCCCCCUUACCGUCACUAAACCGGAACGGUUGGUCCUCCAGAACAUACUCACCCUGCCGCGUACUGCACCGCUCCCACCCUCGCCCCUCGCCAAGCAACCCAGUCCCGCAAAGGAGAAGUGCCUAAGUAGAAUGGUCCUCCUCGGGCCACAACUCCCCCCCAUCCGAUUUUACGUUUGCUACUCUCUGGCCCUGGCAGCAGCUUCAAUCGUGUGUGGUUCGUCUUUCCCCCCCAUCCGAGCCCCGCUGCUACCACCAGACCUCAACCUCCCAAACACCAGAAAACCUACGUCCUUUUGGCGCUCUCACCGCCAUUUCCCUCCUCCCCUACCCGCGCAACCCCACCUCCCCCAGUCUCUCCAACACCCUACAACCUCGGAGCGGCACUGGGGAGGGAAAAGGAUUCCUCCCCGCACUACGUGACCCUCUCCACUCCACGCCUUACUCCUCUCCCUCUCCCGCCUCGGGGCUUCCUCUCUCCUAUUCCCUUACCUCCAACCUCUAUCCCCCUUCAACUCCCAUACCCCGCCCGAGCCCUGCCCUACAUACUACAUACUACAUACUACAUACUACAUACUGCAUACAUGUAUGUAUGUUUUACAUCAAUGCCGCGAUGUGAGGGAAAUGGCGAGGGAGUGCUGCACGAGUAACUUCAUACCGAAGCGAUCGAGUUAAGGGCAGAGCAGAGGGUCACGCCGCCCUUGUGUGUGUGUGCUGCAAUUCAACCGAGCCGUGAGAAGCGAGGUAGUAGUCCUGCAGCAAUCAAGUAGCAGCUAUCCGGGAGUGUUUGUGUCGGUGCCUUGAGCCCAGAAGCUGGACCUCACAGACGUCUGUCUGUGUGUGUGUGUCUGUGUGUCUGUGUGUGUGUCUAGCGGGGUAAGGACCAUCCCACAAUGCUCCAAGACGAAGUGGGGGUCCAACUACCGACACACACCGACACACACCGACACACACCUACAAAACACCUACAUACCGCACGCAACAACUGCCACAGAUAUACGUGAAGACGAAGCACAACUGCUACUAUAACUCUGGAAUCUCAACCUCUAAAGUUUAGCGACGUCUUGUCGUGUUUCGUGUUUCGCAUGUGUGGUGUUGUGUGCGUGUGUGUAUAUGUUACAUAUUGACCUGGGCCUGGCGCUGGCCAGGGGCACCUAACCGUAUACCCCAACAGGAACGACCACCGAAGCACUCCAUCACUGGAAGGGCGUUAUAUCGGUCAGAGUCGUAACCCUUCUCCCUUGAUCAACGCAAGGCGCCGUCACCUGUUCGAAUCCUCUAGCCAGCUAUAUACACCAGCUCAGAUGCCAAGCAACCUCCGUUCCACCGAAAGCGCAUGCUCUACAGCUGCGCGACCUGCCAAAGCACUCGCACCGGUGCCAAUCGCCACCCUAUCCUUGCGAACUCUGCCGUCGCCCGAUUUCGUUAUCCAGCCGCCGUCUGGAAUACAGUCUGGUCCAGGCCCUAUGCCGCACUAAUCCUCCGCCGCGGUUCUCUCGCUCCUUCCCUCCUUCGACCCCCUGGACUAGCUAUUUAUGGCUCAGCUCACCGCCACACUCCGCAACUCCAGCACUCCAUCCAUCCAUGCCAACAACAAAUUAUACAACUCAAACUUACAAAUUUUCUGCUCCGGCAAGACUGCCCUCCUUGCCUUCUGUUCCGUCUCACGCACAUUUCACCCAUGUCCUACUCUCCAGUUCCACUGGCCAUGGGGAACUGGGUUCGCGCACCACCACAGGAGGCUAUAGAUACUCAGCCGUUCUUGUUGAGAUGGAGGCGGCACGCAAUGGCUUUGCAUGGCUUUGCACUAUGGAUUUGCAUACGCAGCACUGUGUAUACACCAGAUUCAUGCAUCACUCCAACGCCGCCGGCCGCCGCACCUGGCCCUCGCAGCUGUCCAUAAUAAUGAGAGCGUACGUAGUCCAAACACGACACCGUUCCUCCACUUGCAGCCCAGUGCCGUACAGCCUCCCCUGCGGAAUACUGCGGGGUGACUGCUGGCUGAUGCCCCCGGGGCCAGGAGAGCUCCUUCCGGCUUCGAAGCAGCUGACCGCCCUCGAUUCCCCCGCCCUCUGGUCCCCUCCUCUUUGCCGUACCGCGAUAAUGGCGAUGCCUGGUACGGUGGCAAGGUUCCUGUUAGAGGGCCUGGUGGAAGUACGGCGAGAGGUAUGGCAGAUCCAGGAGGCUGCUGCCGCCCCACGUGUUUGCCCUGGCGGCACUGUAGCCCACCCACCAUCACCGCCAUCACCGCCAUCAUCACCAUUACCAUCUUCAUUUUCAGCACCACCGUUCCCCCACGACGCUGGAUUGUUACACACAAGCUCUGCAUCUGAAGGGUCCGACGCCGCAGCAGUAGCAGUAGCAGUAGCAGUAGCAGGUGGAGGCGGUGGUGGUAAUGGUGGUAAUGGUGGUGAUGGUGGUGGUGGUGGAGCCGCAGCGGCCACGGCAGCAGCAGCAGCAGCAGCGGCAGUGGGGGCACCUAAUGAGCCCGUUCCUGUCGUAGAUAGCGGCGCUGACAUCAGCAGCUGCAGCAGCAGCACCGGCGGCGGCAGUGACGGCGGCAAUGGCGGCAGUGAUGGCGGUGGCGGUGGCGGUGUGCUGAUUCGGUUUGGGCGGCCCGAGGAGGUGCUUCCCGGGCUUCUGACGCUGGCAGCGGAACACAACCCGCAGGUGCAUGUGUGCGUACGUAUGUAUGUGCGUUUUAGUGGUGGGGUGUGCUGUCCAUGUGCGUGUCUGGGUGGAUUGGAUGUGUGUUGUGUAAGAUUGGUUGGGUGGGUGAGGGUGAGGGUGUGGGUGUGGGUGGACAGCAGCCUGAUGCCGGUGCCAUUUUCAUCCAUAUGCUUAGACUACCUUCAUUCCGUCAAUGUUUUCCGUUACUGUUUUCCGUUGCCGGCAGUUGCGGCACGUGUCCCUGCACCACCACCUGGACGUGCUGGAGGAGGCAGUGGAGGUGGAGAGGGAGGUGGCGGGGGCGCUGAGGAAGUGGGGCGCCGCAAGGGGUGGGUGGAUGGUAGUGGGUCACGCACCUACAAACCGGCCAUCCAUACAGUCGUACAGUCGUGGGUGGCGUUCCCCUCUAGCUCAGAUUCCUGGAGCUGCGGAGCUGGGCCCUUGGGGGAGUGUGUGAGGUCCUUUGGCUUGAUUGGGUAUCUCUCCGCCUCCUCCGCCUCCUCCGCCUCCGCCUCCUCCGCCUCCUCUUCCUCCUGCUCUUCCUCCUCCUCCUCCUCCUCCUCCUCCUCUUCCUUUUGAUGGCACUGGUGGUCAGGUGCCUGUCUUGUAUACAUGAUGGUUUCGCCUAAUUCCCCCAACCCCACCCAAAUCCCCCCAACCCCACCCAAGGUGUGAGUGUUUCCGUACACACCUAUUGGGACCGCACGCUCUACCACCCCGACGAUCUGCCGUACCAUCUGUAUGAUAGAGCAGCUAAGGCCUCGUCGCAGGGUGGAUCGGGCAUGGCCGGUGAGUGGGUGCAAAUUAACGAUGGAUCGUACGGCAUGUCCUUCAUCGUAAUCGGGCUAGGAAUCUAAGUCACGUCGUCCUACAGCCUGCGGCCCCUUGCUCGGCCCCCCAAAUCGCGAUGUCAUGAACUGGGUUACGACACAUCGUGUCAACCCUGAGGACAACUAAAUCGCCUCCUGACCAAAACACCCACACCCACACUCUCCUGUCACCCCCCCACACACCCAGGUGGCGGUCUCCCUCGGGCCCCGAGCCCCCCGCACAGCCCCACGCGGCCUCUGCCCCUCAACGCCGACAAGAACCGCUUCCGGAACCUCCCGCGGGUUAUGACGGACUUCCGCAAGGUGAAUAACUGAGGUGACCUCUUAACGCCGGCAACUUGGCGCCCACGUACACGCAUCUCAACAUCUGCUGUGUCUAUAUAUGUGUAUGUAUAUAUGUGUGUCUAUGUCUAUGUGUAUGUCUAUAUAUAUGUGUACGUAUGUAUAUAUGUUUGUGUGUUCUUGCGUACGAUACGGCGCUGCUGCGCGCUUCCAGGUGCACGCACGGCGAGGUGCAGUGCCCUCCUGCUGUUGGGGCUUUCUGAGAGGGGCCUCAUAUGUGAAUGUGUGCGUGUGUGUAUGUGUGUGUUUAGGCAAGCAGAUCUUUCCCCGCCAAACCCACACGUCCCCCCCCCUUCCCCCUCCCCCCCUCCUCCCUACCCUACCGCCCAACCGGCUCUGCCAUCCAGGCCACGCAGGCCGCUGCCUCCGUACGACCUAGCCUGCCCGCCCCCACCGCCCUGCCGCCCCUGCCGCCGCCAUUCAACGAGGCGGCCCGCAGCCUGGAAAUGACUGCUCAGACUGUAGGACAACGGCAGCAGCAGCAGCACAUGCAGACGUCGGAGGAGGGCGCAGCGGGAGGAGACUGGGGCUUGGGCAGCAUUCCGCGGACGAUUGAGGAGGUGUACGAUGCAGCAGGGGCGCGAAGAGCGCUACAGCGCCUUCAGGAGCUGGUCGGGUUGGACUACAGCCAGCUACUGCCGCCAGUAGAGCCCGGUGAGCUAUUUUACUUGUAAGGUUUCUCAUCGGUUUUAAAGAUGAAUGUUGAGGUUUUAAAUGUUUUCCCCCUAAUAGCGGAAAAGGACGGCCCCCAGUCCUCGCGUGUGUGUUUCUCCUUUCGGGGCCCCCCAUCCGAGGCAGCAGCUUCACUCGUUCGUGGUUCGUCUUUUCCCCCCCCACAUCCAACCCGACCUCACCCGCUCCGCACAUCCCCCUCCCCGGCGGCAAGAAGGGCCACCGGCGCCACACGACCCGCGUACGGCAUUUCCCUUCCACGCCGGCUACAGCAGCGCCGUACGCCGCCUGCGGUACUACGUUUGGGGCCACCCGGAAGGGGCUCCCCCGGAGCUGCCAAGCGACCCACGGGACGGCGCCGGAUCCAGCUCCCAGCCGCAUGGGGCCCCCGUGAGCUCUCCACCCUCGUUGCUGUAUUUCACCAACACCCGGUGAGGCCGUGGAUGGGGGGAUGGCGGGGUGGUGGGUUGGGGCGGUGUGAACCACUCCUUUGGAGGUGGGGCCUUUGGACCUCUGACGUUGAGUCUCCUUACGUCCCUUACCCGCGGAUGAUAGUCCAUGGAGCUCAGCCCGAUCUCACCGUGUAGGGCGCAGGCGGUUGGUGUGGACAGCAGCACUAAGUUGUCGCCCUUCGUGGCGCUGGGCUGCAUCACGUCGCGCCAAAUACAUGAGGAGGUGAGGACCGGGGAGGACGAGAAGAACUCCAUGAAGUCCAUUUUUGAAUAUCAUUAACCUUUCAUUUUAUCAUCGACGGGUUUGAUUCUACAUAAUUCUAGUUGGCCUAGUUGAGGAAAUAUCAGCUGAUAUUUCCUCCGGCGUUGGCUGGCAGUCCCCUUCUUUCCGUAAUCUCGUUAGGCAUGAGCUGUGCGAGCUGAAGUGACAAACGAAUGCGAGGACACAGCCACUUUGCUAGGAGUCAGGGGGAGGUUAAAGAAGGAUGUUUAUGGGGCUUAUGGUGGCGAUGGCGGUGGGGUGUGAGGAUGUGCUGGGGGUGUGCUAGGAAGCCCGCGUGCCCCCGCCCCCCGUCUUGAUGAGCUUUUCUUGGAUGGCCGUUCCAUGUUCGUGUCAGGCUGUGUCGCCUCUUCGCCCCUCACACCCGCACCCCUCACCCCGCAGCUGUCGACCACACCACCGCUUCCCGGGUCCUGUUUUGGAACCCUUGUAAGCUCCCCCUUCGCCCUGGCGGGGGUCAACCCUGCAUGGGUCUGUAUCCGCGCGCGGUGCACGUGCAGGUGGAGCAGGUACGAGCAGCUGCUACUGCGGCUGCUGCUACUGCUGCAUGCAGAGCCACACUGGCAGAUACUGCAGCAGCAGGAGCAGGAGCAGGAGAAAUAGCCCGUGCAGCGGCGGGUGGUGGGCAGCGUGGGGCCGGCGCUACUGCCAACCCCGGCCCGGCCUCCCCUCCCCCCGGCGGCAGUAGCUCAGUACCAGCCCCCGCCGAGUGUGAUUGGCUGGCCAUGCACCUGUGCAUCCGGUGGGAGGGGGUGAGGGGGAAGCGGGUGUGCAAAACACACACACGGAUUCAAUGAAGGGGUGUGGCCUGAGGUCCGCCCCGAUGUUGCCAGUUGCGGUGGUGGUGGAGGAACCAGAGAGGGACCAUAUAAGGGGGGAGCAGAUUGGGCCCCCCCUUAAUGUCAUGUAAGCAUGCGGGCGUGAUGUGGUGGCAGGGGCUGGUCGUGGGAAGGCCUUUGGCAGUGUGGCACCGGUUCAUUACACCCCCUCCCCCUGCUUUACCCCACCCCUCAGCCCCCCUCCCCUGGUGUCGUCUUUACCCCUCUCCCCUUCAGCCCGGUGCUCUUCCACUGCCCGACUGCCGCCGCCACCUCACCGCCACCUCUACUGCACCCCCGACCCCCUCCUGCGGCUGCCUCGUUCCCUGCUGGUUAGGGACUUCUUCAUCUUCACGACGCUCAAGGAGGGUGAUGCCGUACUGGACGAACGGGGCAUUAUGGGUCUCCCCGUCAGCUGGCGGAACGACAUGGAGACAUUCACUCGGUGAGCUGGGGCUGGAGUGUUAAGGCUCGAGUCCCUCCAUGCAACCCCCGCACCCGUCCUUCUUUCCCCCUGUCCCUCUGUUUCAUUUCCCCCCCACCCCCACGACCACGACCACCUCCUGCAGGUGGGCCCAGGGCCGCACGGGUCUCCCCUUCGUGGACGCCAACAUGCGGGAGCUGGCGGUCACCGGCUGGAUGAGCAACCGGGGCCGACAGAACGUGGCUAGCUUGCUGACCAAGGACCUGGGGGUAGACUGGAGAUGGGGUGAGCGGGAGCUGAGAGGCGGGCAGGGGGGAGGGAGUGGGGAGCGGAGAUGAUACGCAAGGGCGCCGGAAGGUGUGGUUAUGGAUGAAGAGGGGGAGAGCAAGGGCGGCAGCGGCGGCUUGGGUGGUGGCGGUGAUGGCGGUAAUAGGGCUCACGUCGUUCACGUUGUUUUCUGCCACCAUGCGCAGGUGCGGAGCUGUUUGAGAGCUUGUUGGUGGAUUGCGAUGUGGCGGUUAACUAUUGCAACUGGAAUUACUUUGCUGGUAUCGGGAACGACCCACGCAAUCGCCAUUUCAAGACCGUGACUCAGGUGGGGAACGUUUGUGCUGCUCCGGGCUGCCUCUGUGUGUCAGUCUGUAUUGUCUGUGUAUAUGGGGUGCGCGGGAAAGAGCAGGGAACGGGGAGGGGAUUGUGUCGAGUUUCGGAACCCCAUGCUGCAGGCACUGACUUAAGGUACAUGCAGGUACAUCAUAUGACAGCCCUCGGCGCAGAGUUGCAUUAAAAAUCGGCCAUUAGCGAUUGAUGUUAGGGCCCCGCAACGGCUCCUACGGCGGUUGCAAUAUUAUGGAAAUUGCUGCUCAAUGAUCUAUCGAUGAAUCCUUGAUCAUUCCAGGGCAUGAAGUACGACGAGGAUGCCGUGCUCGCCGCUACAUGGCUGCCCGAGCUGGCCGCUCUACCGCCCGCUCUCCGCCACCAGCCCUGGGCCAUGACGGCGGAGGAAGCUGAGCAGUACAGCUUUGUACUGGGCCGCGAUUACCCUUUUCCUUUGGUCGACCCGGCUAACCAUGUCGGCCAGCUGACGGGCACGGGGAAGCGCAGGAACAAGGCCAAGGCACAGACGUAAUCCGCCAAGGCUGGCUUUAUUAUCAAAGCAUGCAUCUUUUACAUUACUGGGGCUUGGGCGCCGCCAGGGUAAUGACAUACCCAUUAGGUAUAGAUUCGGCCUCGCGCGCUCAACUUCAGGGGGGCUAUGGUGUGCAUGGAUUUGUUAAUCUUUACUGUGCUACAUCGUGGCGGACAGUUCGAAUAGCUGUGACCUUGGUAACGUUUUGUCUCUGGGUCUCCCAAAAGGAGCCUGGGCCCGUGCGUUAGGUAGGUGGCUGUGUAGUGGUGAGUAUGGAGGAAAGCGUUCGCGUGCGAGAAUAUCCCGUUGGGCCAUACUCCUGCUGCACGAGUUGGCGCACCGGGCUGUGAAGCUGGUAACUCGCCGACGCCAGGUAGGGCCGCAAGGACGAAGUGCCCAUAAUCAUAGUAAGCAUGAACUCUUGAGCUUGAACCGAGGGCUAAUGGACUCGUGAACCAAGGGCUAAUGGACUCGUGAACCGAGGACUUGUCCAGUCUUCACCCGAAAUGCCUUAGUGCAGAUCAGCAGUGCACUAGCGCAAGGAGCGCGGCUUAAGCGCCUCUUUACACCAUGAGUUAGAGCGGCCAGCAAAUGAGGGUGCCGUUCUCCGGCAGAACCAUGCGCCCCCGGCCAACGCCGCUCCUUGGCUUUAGGCUCGCCCCAUUACCGCUACUAACACCCUGGAAGGCUUUUAAACAGCAUCACACCACACAAAAGAGUCACGGUCAUGUUGAAAACGACAGGAGAAGACGGAGGUGAGACGCGAGAGUUCCUCCACGGCCGCCACGUCUUUUAUAUUGGUAGCCCUUUUUAUACUCCUCAAACAGCAAACCCAAAGCCCGGGACACGCCAUGUUGACGUAUCUGCAGAGCCAUACCCCUCAGCAAGUACCCCAAAAAGGGCGUCCGCCCAAGCAGAAGUGUCGAAUGUUUCUGCGUUUUGCGAACACCCAGCUUCCCAACCCGGCUGCCCCUGCCCGGAACGCGUCCGGAAGUCAAAUAUUUCGAAAGGCGACAGCUCAGCACACAAAACCGCUGCGCCUGUACUUGUCACUCAGUGCCUCGUCUCAACAGCUUUACUUCUUGCCACCCGACUUGCCCUCCGACGCCGGGCACAGCACGUGGCGGCCCUUGGAACGGCGGGACUUCAGGACCUUACGCCCGUUCUUGGUGGCCAUACGGGCCUUAAAGCCUGACGUCCGCCGGCGCUUCCUGUAAAAGGGAGUGUGGCGACCGGGGCAGGAGAAAGUGUGGACAGGGACGAAAUAUCCAAGGGCUGCGCAACCGAAGUUGCUGCACAGCUCAAAGGGUGCGGAGCAGCUCAAAUCAACAUGAAGCUCUACAAAGGGCUUAGAAAACUGACCCUAACCCUGCAGGAGCCAAAGUGGACAGUACCGGACCGGCUUGCCACAAGCGCGACGGCCCCUCUACCUAUUCCGCGCACCUGUUUGUUCCCUCCUUUGUGCAGGCAAUGGACUUCUUGUUGUUUGCCAUUACCAAAAGGCCGCCACGAGCAGGGGCAACGCGGACCAGGCUGCUGCCAGCGAACGAACCUGUGCCACCACAAGAAUUGCGCACACACCUGUCAGACUCAAUCAUGGUCUUGGCGCGAAAUUACUUAUAAAGGCUGCAACAAAACUCUAGUCGUUACAGCGGCAAACUUCAAUAACCGAAGAGGUCGAAAUGCAAAGCGACGGCGUAGGACUCACCACCCAGGAAAGAGCUGGUCUGCGCCGUGCGCGGAGCAAUAGGCAUGAUCGCACGGCUAGUCAUAGCGCUACGCAUCGACGCCAAGCAUUUGACGGGAGCAGCAGUCCGCGCGAUGAACGCGCCACGCGAAGCCAUUAGCGAUGCCAUUUUAAACUCUUCAAUGUACCUAUGCACAAACGAAGAAUAAACAGCAGCUAUGGAAAGGAUCACCACAACUCCAUUGGCAGGACAAGAAUUUGUACGAUUUCAUGGUUUCAGAGCUCCAACUCAACAAGACACCAUCGCCACAUUACAGUAUUGUUUUCUGCGUAAGGACAGAAAUGAGGAGUGUAAUUGACCACUGUUGUGGUCAAUAACACAGUGGACAGAAAUGAGGAGUGUAAUUGACCACUGUUGUGGUCAAUUACACAGUGGAAACAUUUAUGUCUGAGCUGGACUGACAAGUCAAGUCGAAAACAUCUAUCCCUCACUGUCAGAUGCACGCGCAGGCUUGGGGGCCUAAUUUUUCUGCUGACUCCUCAAGCACAGCUCCCAACCGAUCCCGACCGACUUAGUGGUUAUAGCCCGUCGUUGACUCCCAGGCUUUCGGUGACAUGCAUGCCCCGAAACAGUUCUUUCUGAUCGCGGUCUCUGGUGCAUGCAAACCCGACUUCGUGCCAGUGGGCAUUUCCAAUAGAAGGCUAUAGAAGGGCUUGGGGGUUUCAUGCUGGCCUUGAACGAACAGCUUGAACUUCAGGUCUCGACCGCAAGCACGGAACAGGUGUCGCUAAUAUCUAUGUUGCUUAAUUGGAAUGGGUUGCGUUGGAGGGUGAUCAGUCGUAAAGUAAGUGAACAUUUUCACGUUCGAGGGUGACUAUCAAACAAGAACCCCCAAAACACAUCUUCAACCUAAUCCUAGCCCGAGGUAUCCUUGGGACCCACCGCGUCCCCACGACCAUCAGGGACCAUGUCGAUCAAUUACAGAUACGAGUACACGUUCAAAAAUUAACUACUGGGUGAAUGCCUUUCACCGCACAGACAUUUCGCACACAGCAUAAUUAGCUUAGACCUUGUAAGCCCGCCAUUUUUAGUUGUAGACCUGUGGACAUUUCAUUAUUGGAUAUGUACUUCCAGGGUUUACAGGUUUGGGAUAUAUAUCUAGCCGAUAGCCUGGUCGUACAUGGGUUCGGCCUGAUGCCAGCGUAUGAGUCGUCAAUCGCCAAAUUCACGACUCAAGAUCUAAUCCUAUGCCUGACAGAGCUACAGGGGCGCGCAACUUAUUUACGGUGCUGCCUUGGCUGAGGCAGUGGCCGGCAAGUAAGCCUACGAGGUGGCCCUUUUUCGGUGGACCUCCCCUCCCCCCCGCACCGCGGACUGGUACUUCAGCACUUCUGCAAGGAAGGCACCCUCCGUUACAACUGAGCUCGGCGUCGGAGGACUUUCUUAACCGCUGCCGGGGGCUACCUGGGCCCCCGCGCGCUUUCCUACUCGCUUCCUCCCCCGCUGACCCUUCACCCUCGGGCUCCACCAUCCGAUCCGGGAAUUCCAUGUCUGCCUGUGAACUCCUUGGGCUGGUUGGCGAGGUUGCAAAAGAGCUUCGCAGCACGCAGCUUUUGUUCGAGAGUGGGGGAGUGGGGAGCGGAAGGGGGAAGGGGAAGGGGGAGAGAGACGGGGCCGGCAGUCCGCAAGCAGCCAGGCGGGAACACGGAAUGCGACGGACUGUCCUUAAAUCGCCCCUACCUUCGCAGUAUCCUCCAACUGGUUAAUGUAUGCCCCUCAUGCAGCUUGCACUCUUUUCCCGUGCAAUACCUCGAAACACCCCGAACGCAUGUACCUACCACUUUAUAACCCGGACAUCAAAACAUGUAUGUUGUUACGGGGUGGUUAACUUCGCCAGCGGCCCCUUUCCCGGGCAGUCCCUGCUCUCCCCUGCUAGAGGGGCACCCUAAUCCGUCACCCCAUCCGACUUCAGAAUGUAUUCAUUGGGUUCGGCAACUCACCACCAGCAUUCAACCAAAUCUAGCGGAUCAACGGCGCAUCAACUUAGUUCCUGGUUAGCUCGCAAGUUGAUUUUAUCACGUCCUACAUCGUCCAUAUGAUGGGGGGCCAUCUCCCAUUUCAACACUCCUCAAACACCCGAGGAGCCGGCAGGCGGAUUUCAACCCGGGUGGGCCGGGAGCAGAAGUCAGGCCUUAACCUCUGCCAGCCGCCUGCUGUAUGUGUGCUACGCAACGGGAUCGCUGCUCGCCAGAAGGGGUCACCACGCCCUCCAAUCGCCCAUCAUCAGCUCCAUCACCCGCUUCGCCGUCCAAUCAAUCGGCCCUUCAAACCCGAGGACGUCGCCCUCCGACCCGACCUGGGUCCUUCACACUCCUAGCAACCGCCAACACGCACUCGCUCAACAUCCGAAACAAGCCCAGAAACCCUGCCGACCUCUGGAGUAACCCCUUCGCCCUCCCUUUCCCCGCCACGCUCUGUCUGUUUGUCUGUCUGUCUGUCUGUCUGUCUGGUCCACAAGUGCUAAACCGCCCCCGGGUGGGGUCGAUCCUUGUCGCAUUCAAACCAACAUCAGGCAAACCAGCAGUAGGUUUUGGUAUACACAGCACGGAGCUAGCAACCAAUCAAGUCGCGCCCGGUCUGAAGGCUCGUGGCUCCGGCUGUGAUGAUCAGGAGCACGGCCACGCCGCUGCGAUCCAGAGAGGACAACCAACCCAACAAACUGCCGCUUUAACGACCCCCUCCCCCUCUCCUCCCUCCCCCUCCCCUCCCACCUGGAUCUGCGCUACACAGCAGCUUUCCCCCCUGGCGCCUGACGGCUCCGGCCGCCUCGGUGCUUCCCCCUGGCAUCCUGCGAGCCUGCCUGCCUCAACCCUGCCUGGAGGUGGUGCUGGUGGUGCAUACACGCAUGUACUACACAGAUGUGUUGAGUUACACGCCUUGCCACGCACGUCAAAGGUAGUCCCGCAUCUCCAGCACCUCCUCCGCCAGCUCAGUGCGCUCCGCGUUCAUGCAGCAGGCCGCCAAACAUGUGAACUGGAGGGGAUGCGGCGAGAGAGAGUGUGUGUGUGUGCGCGUGUUUAUGGUCUCAGAGAGAGAGACCUGUUUGUGCCAGGAAGCGGUGUAGGGAACCGGUAUCGCAUAGGGCAUAGGCACACGUAAUAUACGUAUGCCCCUGGCCAGUGUCAGGCCCCGAUCGAUAUGUAACAAAUACAUACAUACAUAUAUGUAUACAACCUCCCGGCCCUUAAUGUGGCCAGAGCAGCUCUCUCGUCCCCUCCCAGCCACCCACCGUGCUGCCCUCUACGACUGCCUCUGCCCUCAUCAACCGGAGAAGUAUGUCGUACGCAUCAUCUAGGUGACCUGCGCGGGGGCCAGUCGGGUGAAGCCAGGGACUGCCGUGUCAGGAGUGCUGGUGGGGCCCUGAGGCUCCUGCGGCGGGGAGGGCGCAGCGCAACCUGUUGGCUUUGCAAUGUCUGACUGAGGAUGGGUCGUAACAGGGUGCCGAUGACGUGCGCUGGUAACACACGGCCUGCGGUGAAACCCCCCUCCGCGACCACACAGCGCCCCUGCCCACACAAUCCAUAUACAGCCGCAGCCUCCCCCCCUUCCUGCGCACCUUGUCUUGCCAGUGCGCGCACCGCCAGGUUGUAGGCGGGACCCAGCCCGGUCAGGUCGCCCCCGGCCAGCUCCGACACUUCUUUCAGUAGGGAGAUGGCCCGCUGGCCUUGCUGGGAGCUGGCCAGACCCGCCACCAAGGCCGAGGUGGUGUCAGCUGAAGGGGCAUAGCCCCGAGACUGCAGCUGGCGGUAGAUGGUUUCGGCGCGCUGCCAUUGACCCCCUGCAACACCAUCGCAGAUCAUGACAGAGAGGAGGCGAAGAACGGAUGGCGACUAGCGGGAGAAGGGGUCUGAGGCAUGCCACAUGCGAGAUAUGUGGGUGGAAAGGGAGUUUGGCGACAAUUGGCAGGAGAUGGGGCUGGACGACAGACAGGAAGGUAGGCUGCCGUACGCGUAUAUUGAAAACACGCUGAAAGUCAGGUCAAAGACGCAUACCGCUGGCAAGCGAGAUGACAGCGCUCUCGAGCGCACGAGGCUCAACGUCUAUCCGCAAGAUGUUGACUUCGGUGAUUAAUUCCAGCGUCUUCGUCCAGUCAUCGCCACUCGAAAGCAACAUUUCUGAAUACUCCUCUGCAAGGUACGGAUUCCAAAACGGCACAGGAAACGAGAUUGGUAAUGAUUAUGCAGCGCCGGCUACCUAGCCUGUAAGCUCUUCAUGCUUUCGAAGUUUCUAGGCGCAAAGCCCUUGGAAGUGCAUAACCAAGGCACACCUGCUGUGCGUUGGGCAGCUUUUGCUGCAAGAUGUGUCCGGAACAACUGGGGCCUGCAAGGACAGCGAGGCGAGGCCCUAGCCUCCGCUCGACGGAGCUGACCGCAACGACGCAAUCGAAGAUCCAUCCUAAUUACGCGUAUGGCUGGACCUUAUUCUUGAGCGCACGUCUUGAUAAAAGCAAUCAGCAGACGUGGUCGACAAGUAUGUGUUUAGGUCCAACGGAAUUAACGACUUCGUCCGUCCAAAUGUUGGCUCUACACUCUCAAGAACAAAUGUCGAAGCUUCCAGAUCAAACUGCAUUUGUAUAAAGACAAUCUAUAUUCUGACGAGGGCCACGGCGAUACCAAUACACAUUGUUUCUGCUCUUUGGUGUCUUCAGUCGCCUGCUAAGUUACAUUAUCACGUUCUACGCAUCAAAAUGACCUUUCCCCCUUGUUCAAGUAUUCAUCACGCAGAUUGGCCUAUCCAACCCACUUCAGCCCUUCUCCUGUAAAGCCGCCAACCCGUAAGUUAUGGAGUCGAACAUCCGUAUGCUCCAGCACUUCACACCCUCCCUCCGGUCCACAAACCGGUUACAUGAGCAGUGCCCCUUCCCAUACCAGAGAUGUGCGUAAGUCCAAUGGCGGUGGUUGAGGUGCAGGGCAUGUACGCAUAUCUGGGCUUUGGAGUGCUUGGGGACUUUGGGAAAUCUCCCGGAUGGGUGUACUGCGCGGCUCCGUUCGGUCGUGAGCCUUACUGCCAUGUUUCAUAACUGAGCACUUGGUCCUCUCCGUCACCUGUCAUCCUCGGCGCCAAGCUGACGGCCGCCAAGGGGCUCGUCGCCUCUGAACCCCCUCACGGUGGUUUCUUCGUUUUCAAUCUGUACCUUUCCCCUUCCCGUCAACUUCCCUCCAUGCUCAUGGCGUUCGGAACCUGAACGAGAAACACACGGAUCCUUGAAGACGAAAGCAGCUGGCCCACUCCGCCUGGCUCGCUCAACCAUCCGUGCAUACAGCACAUCGCGUUAAACGCGUACUUCACAAACCGCAACAAUAAAGCAGAGCGCGCAGUACAACUUUACAAGGUUGUUACAGUACAACGGUUUACCAUGAACAGAUUGGUGUAGGGUAGGAGUGCGUGGUUGAGUUUUUGCAUGUGUGUAUGUGUGUGUCUCUUUGCUGGCAUGUCAGGUGGUCAGCACACAAAAGGAUGCCGCACAGCUCCCAUGCGCCGGCAGGUGCAGCAGCAGCUGCUUCUGCUACACCAAAGGGCGGAGACGACACCCCCGGCUGCUGCUGCACUUUGGCAACCAUCACAUGGCUGGUGUGUGUUGCUGCAUUUACCACUCGCCCAGUCGCACUGCCCUUUCACGUCUGACGCGAUGUACCACUGUACACACACGCACGUCAAUCAGUUCUACCAGCUCUCGCCCAAGAGGUUCAACACAUACCCGUAUGCAUGCCAUCCCGCCGGAGAAGUUCUGAUGCGUGAAAGAGUCUCCUUGCAUACAAGCCCCCACAACACAACACAACACAACACAACUUAGCUCGCCGCACGCCGCGUAUCUUGAGGUUGGGGGCACAGUUGCCAUCGCUGCGCUGGUUGUGUGUUACUGGGGAAUGCUAGCCUCUGCUCGCUCGUGCCCCACCCAUUGUUAGAUUAUUAAUAGGAUGCGCCGUAAGUUAGCAACAAACACCAACACCACCAACAAUGCCAUGGCGGCGUUAGCAGUUCGGAACCCCAGGUGCUGCUCCCGGUGCGGGCGCUGUAACAGAAGCUCCUGCAGCGACCCACAUGGCACGGCGGCUCGCUUGGGCCCCUGAAAAAACGGAAGAAACUCCUUUGCCCUCCGCCACCCUCCUAUCUCCAAUCUGCCACAGCCACCUCACCGUCAUCAGCCGCAUUUAGACUCCAACAACCAAACUCCCAGAGGUCCUUUUGCGAUGACCUCAGCCGUUGGUCUCCCUGUGUCGCUCAGGCUGGGGCCCCCGGUCCCGGCACCCUGACUGUUGCUGACACGGCGCAUCCACAUCUCGUCCAUUGCCACUCUGUUGCUUCACAACCUUAACGUACGGCGCCUUCUCCCAGCCCCCAUCGCCCCACUGCCAGUGUCCCUACCCAUCCCCAACCAGCCGCCACCUCCCCGUAACGGGCUGCCGCCACCCAACCCAC
rnacentral:lncRNA from 1 species